ensembl:lncRNA
GGUAUUUGGUUGUGUUUGGUGGCGCGGGAUGAAAAAAUGAAGAAUUACCAAGGAAUUAAUUCUAAAGCGGUCGAGAUAUGUAACUUAAAACACCAAAACUCAGGCGACUGCUGCUUAGUAGUUGAGCGGGGUUGUCCUUCGAUCAGAGGCGGUUUGAUCCCCGGCUGUUUGAUGUGUCCUUGGGCAAGACGCUUACAAGACACUUACUACAAACUGCUCCCGCGGGCUUUACCUGCGGUGAAUAGGUCUAAACGGUUAAUCCUGAUAUGGCAGGUGACACCUUGCAUGGCAGCCUGGCCAUAAUUGUUUGAAUGGGUAAAUUAUGACAAUUAUGUAGCGUUAAAUUAGCUUUGAGUGUUUGGAAGACUAAGGGUGGCGUGGUGGUUAGCAUUGUUGCCUCACAACAAGAAGGCCCAGGUUUCGACUUUCUGUGUGGAGCAUGUUGUCCCUGUCUCUGGGUGGGUUCUCUUCAGGUACUCAGGCUUCCUCCCAUAGUCCAAAGACCUGCUCUGGGGAUUAGGUUGAUUGGUGACUCUAAAUUGCCCAUAGGUGUGUGGCUGUGUGUCUGAAUGGUUGUUUGUCUCUGUGUCAGCCCUGCUUGAAGGUGUACCCCGUCUCUGGCCUGAUAUUAGCUGGCAUUGACUGCAGCCCCCCACACCCUGAAUGGAGGCUAAGCGGCCUUGAAGGUGGAUGGAUGGAUGGUUGGAAGGAGGUAUCAGUUUCGGACAAUUGUGCAUGUAGUAAUGCACUGCAUGUGUCCCAUUCCAAUAUUUAGUUUAAUUAUUCAAAAUCAAAUGUCCUUUACUUAAAAAGGCAGAAAUGGACAUAAUCCAGUAAAUGGAUGUAAUCAACAGUAACAGUACCUUCAUUGAAAGAAAAAAAAUUAUUUACAUAAAUGUUAUCGGUGUAUUUUGAAAGUCCAAUAUUAAUGUUUUUUUUUUGUUUGUUGGAAGUUCAAUGAGGAAGAUAUAGUCUCUCACUCACUUUUCUUUAUACUUGUUUCAGAGUAUAAACAGCUGAUUAUGGAUUCACUGACUUAAAACAAUCAUAUUUUGCCACCAUCCCCCCGAGCCAAUCAGAUCAUAAAUGUCAAAUUUUAAAAUGGUUCUCCUCCUCCUUCCCCCUCAACCACCGUUCUCAUAUCCAGUGGCCAGUCGUACUCCACAUCCCAUUAUCGGAUCCUCAGCAAACCCCCUUCACCACCACAAGAGUGUAGACUCCGCAAGUAAAUAGUCCUGGAACCAACUUACGGCAUCACUACACCUUUUAUAGUCUACUAAGACAGGGUUUAGUCCACGUUUCUAAAUUAAACUCUAAAAUACAAUUUCAAUAGUAUUUUAAAUGUUGUGGUCAAAACACACCAUAUUGAGUGUAUCUAUCAGAAUAUACACACUGAACAGAUACACAAUGAAGAAAGAAGCUCAGCAUUAGACUUUUUUAGUUAAUCCAAGCAACAAUUUGGCUUAAAGUUUUUCAUCUGAACAAAUUUUCCUCCGCUGACAGAUUAUUUCCAAAAAUAUCAACAGCCUUAUCAGCCUGGAAUCACCACUCAGUCACAUGCCGCUGCUCAACAGUCAAGAUCAGGUUUCCGUCAGGGCAGCGUGGGGCGACAAGAAGGAGUUUGGCUGCUGUUUAAAGAUCGGCAGGUCCGCUGCUGACUAGCACCUUGUGUCUUGGAUCCUGAGAGGACUGCCCCAGCAGCUGCCCUCCUUCACGCCUGUUUGUCAGGAGCUGUCGAUAAGUCCCACACUCGCUCCGCUUUAAAGGGGAGGGGAAAAAAGGGCUGAAAUAGGAUGCUUCCUGCCCUUUAACAUGCCAGAGGCUUCGUUAAGGGAACCUGUGAAAUCAGUUUAAUAGGCUGACAUCACCCCUGGGCCUCCGUGACCCAGCCCUCCAGAGACCCUCCUCUCCUCUCCAAUUCCUCUCCUCUAUUCUUUUUCUCUUAAUUUCUUCUUCCCCUUCCCUGUCCUCCACCUCUUCUUUCCUCUGUGCUUCUCUUUUUUUCUAGUUAUCGAUUGUCUGGUCGAUUCCUGCUCUCCUACUAUCCCUUUUUCUAAACUUUGCAGCCCUUCAUUUUUCUUUUUACACUUUUUUUGAUAGCUGCCGCUCUUGUUCACAUCAUCUCUUUUUUUCCCAUUGUAAUCUGCAUCCAAUUUGCUCUAAUCUAAUCUUCAUUUUGUCCAUUGACAUUCAUAAUUGUAGCGUCCUCCCUUCUUUCAAGAUUUUGAUUUGAUUUCUUCUCAUUUCCAUUUCUUCACUGAUUUCAUGCACCUUUCCUCUCCUCUCUAAGCAUUUUGCCACAGCAGCAGCGUUUUGUAGUGGAUCUAACAGAGCGAUAUCUCUAUUUUUCAUCCAUCUGACCUUGAUGAAAACAGCAGCGCGGGCCGGACUGAGGACGACCCUGAAUAUGCCUGAACCCACCUGACAUUAGUGAAUAAAAUAUAGCGUGGGCCUCCUGUUGGGGACGGCUGCUGAAAGGGAGAUCACUCCACCUCUUCUUAUUUAUUCUCUUUUCCUCCUUCUUCAGACGCUAACGCCGGGAAUGUGACGUUAAUGUGCAUACCGGCUGUUUGAACCGCCAACCACAGGUCAGCCACUUUAAUAGAGAGGUUCAAGCCUCUCUCAAAGGGAUAGCAGCCCGACGCCUCCAUUAAUGUAGAGCAGAAAAGGAAUGUAGCCGUAAAACUGCACUUCCUCAUGUAAGGUUUGCCUGGGAAGUGCCGAGACCCUUGUGUUUCAUCCUCUAUCCUGUUCGGAAUACAAAGCCAGAAUAAAAUAAUCUAACAAGCAUUUUUAUUCUCAACUCCAUUUGUUUUUGCUUUUUGGUUUCUGACUUGGAAGAUGGAACGACCCUUGCUGAAUCUCCAGGUUGCAUCGCGGGAGACAUGUGGUUGUUGAGGGUUGCAUCAGAGCGUUGCUCCACUCUCUCUGACUAUUCAUGUGUUGUGAAUAUUUUGUCUUUUGGAUAUGUUAUGAGGCCUGUGUUUGUGCAAAAGUGUUCUAGUGUUUUUCGGUACUGUGAGUGUGUGUGUGUGUGUGUGUGUGCAGUAUGGGUCCUGACACUGCCUGCAUGGUUAUGGCUGCCCUUGGCUGUAGGCAGGCCUUGGGGGGUGAAGGUCCUCUCCUGGUGGGGAUAAAAGCAGGAGGCAUCUGGCUCCAGCGGAGCUCCAAAAACUCAAAGUAGCUUAAGAUCCCCCUCUCCUAGUUUAGCCAAACAAGCUGGACUAAUCCCAACUAUCAGGGGAUGCUCUGUCAAAACAAGCAGCAGGGCCCUAAGGCAAGCCGAUCCACUGAGCAGUGAAGGGCCGCGGAGAGAGGGAGUGGGGGAAGGAGGCCCUCCAUUAGCAUAAUGCCUCUCGGUAGCGAGCUGGUGUGCUGGCCUGACAGCCUGAGCACAGGGGCACAGCUUCUCACAGGGGGUUUGGGCUCAGAGACGGGGCAGCAGGGGCAGAGGGUGCAGCAGUGGAGAUGUGGGAGCUUUCUGGCUGAAAUCAGCGAGGGGCAAAACCCGACCCAUCCUGCUGAUGGCAGCUCCUCCUCCUUUUCUUUCGUUCCCUCUCACUUUGUGAUUUUGGUUCUUCCGGCUUAUUUUUAGCAGCCUUCAUCCUCCAAAAGCAGCUUGAGUCCUGUUUUCUCUGAAUAUGUAGGCCUAUGCCCUGGGCUCGCCGUCUCUCACCCAAUUCACCAACUACAUCACUACCUCACGAAGCUAUUCUGGUGCUGCUGAUCCUGUGUUGUGGCUACCUGCUGGAAAACAGCUCAGAAUUUGUGUCAUGACACACAAUGCACUGUAAAUCUCAGUUGUCACACAUGAAAUAUUGAUUCAGCACACGCAUUAUCCUCCAUAGAUCUCCUUUGAUAUUCAGAUGAGUCUCCUUUCUCUAAAAACCUUUCAAACAACGCAAGGUGAAAAUGGUCUCAAAUCAAGACGGACCACUCCGUCUCCUUCUGUCACCACGCAGUGUCAUUUCAUUUUAUAUAUGCAGAAUGGCUAAAUGAAACAAAUGAGUUAGCAGUAUAUGUUAUUAGCCCUAAUGGGAACAUAAUGGGGUUAGCUCAGGCCACAUAAUAAUGAAUAUCAAUAUCAGCAGGCUUGCCUUUUAUUAAAGCCUUACAUCAUCUCUCAGACACUCCGUUGGAGAGGGACUGGGUGUCCAUGGGGAGGAUAUUUGUGUUAUCAGGUUGUUGUAACAUGACUGUAUCAAAUAAAUUAUUUUUUUAAUUUAAAGAUUCAUGUUUUUUUUCAGAAAAGUGUCACUUUUAUUAAUGCACACAUAUGAGAUAUUAUCUAUCGGGGAUACAGUAAUUACAAAUCCUGAAUGGCUUUUGGAGGUUAGAGCUUAAGUAAAAGAUCUUUUAAAACAUUGGAAACCCUGCCUGAGGUCCAGCCAGUCCUGCUGUGAUUGUACUUGGACUGGAUCCAGUUGAUUAUCAUUCCAGCCCGCUGUCACUCAUAAGGAGGCGGGUUCCGGGCCCAAUUAUCUUUGAAAAACCGCGGAGGUUGAAUGUGAUCAAUGAGGCCGAUGCCAGCGUCGAUGCGCUGCGAGUCAACCCUAUUGAUCAGUAGACGCGUAUGGACAGACGUUGUGAGCUGUAUAAUGUCAACAGGGCCGGCAAAUGUGAAGCUUGAGGGGGAGGUAAGUCGGAGUAGUUGGGGAGGGGAGGGGAGGGGGGGUGGGGGGGUUCUGAAGGGCCGGGAGCCUCAGGUGUGCAGCGUCAGGGGUAAGAGGUGACAGUUUGCUGGGCCCCAAGGCCCCCGGGGAGGGGAUCAGGACCUGCCCUGACUCCCAGCUCACAGCAGCAGGGUGACGAGCCGCCCCGGCAGCCCCUCCCACUGUCGCUGCCGCAAUUAAAAGUCUGGCUCAGUCGCAGGCUGGAGAGCAAUAAAACACAGAGCACAACAACCCUCUCACCUUACGCUCAGGGACCGGGACACACACACACACACACACGCACAACACAGGCUGGGACACUUCUGGCUUUCCUCUAGCUCCAUCCUCACAAAGAUAAAACCUUGAGGUUAGUUGCACAUCAUGGUUGUAGCAAAUACAAUAUGGCAACUCACUAACCUCGUGAGAAUUAGAUGUAAAGUUCAAUUCCACUAAUGUCUUUACAAUAAAUAUAAGGCUGAAGCCAUUAGAUUACCGGAGGAAAACAUUUAGCCUCCAACAGUAAGAACAUGCAUUAAAUAAUGCAGCAACAAAACAAAUGUUUUACCACAGUCACAGUUACAUUUUUCUUUAGUGUGAACGAAUACAAGAAGAAGGUUUUCUAGGAUUCUUGUAAAUUGUAACGUUGCAUGUUUGAUUACAUACUUUGUUCUUUUUAUUUUCUCUUAGUGGAGUAGUACUCAGCAUUUUUGUCCCACAACACCAAAAUGGAAAGGAAUAAGGUAUUACUGUACUUAAGUAUUUGUAUAUGUUAAUAGUAAGUAUAUAUGUUAUUAGUAAUUUUUAUAAAUUAAGACUUCUUUGAGAUUCACAAGCCACCCAGGAUUAUAGACAGUCUUCUACGUCGAUAUUCCUAAUCCAAUAAUUUUAAAUGAAUCAUUCUACUAUUCUUCCUAAGACAUAUUUUAUUUUACUUUUGGUAAUUUAAGCAAUAUUGUGAUGCUCAUGAUUUAUUUCUUUCAUAGAUUUUCAUGGCAGAAUUUGGACUUGAGGUAAUUAAUACUGCAAUCAGAUUAUGAUAUAUCCACAAAAUAUUCCAUUACAAAAGCAAUGGAGCAGUGUCCUCGGUGCUAGCUACAGUCCCAGCUCACUGGUCCAGCAGUAGCCCUGACGUAAAGCAGAACACAUACUUUGUCUAUUUCCAGUGAGUGGCUUCAUGCAUGCAUCAGAUUGCGAGUCCAAAACUGAGAUUGCAUCCUCUUUCUGCAGCAGAGUGAGCAGAGCCUCUAACACCUCCGCCCCAGCCUGAAGAAAAUCUGUUUUGCAUUCUGAAGCCAGGUCCCCAAAGCGGCGUCGUAGUCUCAAUAAUGAUGAACGAUUAUUGCCCUCAGAUUGCUUUAUGAUAUAUGCUCUCGUUAAAGGUAAAGGCCCAAUCGUUUUACUAAAGUAACCUCUCUGUACAUCAUUUUGAGCGUGAAACCAAUAAUGGCCCGUUUCAUGUGACAAACUAGAAACGGAGACAUCCGUAGAGGAACUGAAUUCAGGACAUCUUAAUAUGGAUAAAGCAGUGGAGCAAGCAGGGCUGUGAUGCAACGACCAUAAAACUAUUCAGCAGUGGCAUAAUGAGAUCAAUGGCCUCUCCGAGUCAGUCUCUUCCCUCUUAAAAAAAACAGGAGGGGCUCAAGGAAUUCAUCUCCAUCAGGUAGUGAAACGCCACGUUGUGGAAAUGCUAAAGUGCAGAUAAAAAUUAUAACAGUUUCUUCAUUAUUAGUCAACAGGUAACGUGGCAUUCAUUCAUUCCGGUGCUAAAGCCACAUUCUUGCUUUGUCCCGUCAUUUUACCUCUUAAUUCUUAUGAAUAUAGUGGAUUAAACAUGAAUAUUGAUGAGUGUAAAUGUAUGCAUUUUGGUUCAUAUUGAUGUAUGAGGUGAUUGGAGAGUGAGAGCGCCAAAGGCUAAAGUUGAGUAAAAGGCAGACAAGAGGGAGGUGAAUGCAAAUUAGUGGUGUGAGUGUGUGUGUGUGUAGAGAGAAAGUAGAGAACUGCACAUAAUAAAGUCCACACUUCUUUUUCGCUGAAGGCAGUCUUCUUCCGCAGUUUGAGUCUGGCUUCUCCUGGCGUCAGGGAAAUUAAUUAGCUGUUUGUCAUCUCAUACCGAUCCGGGGGAUUUGGGAGAACUCAAUGGCCGACAGGCUACGCAAUGACUGGGAUGGAUUGGAGGCGGGCUGGUUGGUGUGACACUGCAGGUGCUUCCACUGACUUCUUCCUUCCCCCUCUUCCUCCUCCUGAGCCUGAAGGAGAGUUUGCCCGUCAGCUCGACCUCAAUGCACGCUGUAAAAGAGGCAGCGGCUCAUUGUCUCUGAAGAUGGAAGAUGGAGAGGAGGGAAAAGCUACUUUUUGUGUUAUUAGAGGAGGACAGGUGGUACUCUGUUUCACUGAGCCCCAGGAAAUGCAGCCUAAUGUUAGCCAAGGCUGCUUUCAUGGCCUCGGGCUACAGGAGGGACAUGGGGUGGAUUUAGCGCUGGUGUGAGGCUUCCCAUUUGGUCCCACACACACACACAGAUUUCCCCACUCCCUUAUUUGAUCCUGGCAGGUAACUUUCACCAGCUCAAGUUUUAGGGAAGAGUAGAUUAAGUUGAAAGUCUGGUUUUGGGCUUGACAGAGACUUGGCAGCUGGCCCGAGCAGGUGCCUUCACGCUAUACUUUCCAACGUGUUCUUACAGCAAACACUUGUUUUCAUCUGUGAUGCAAUAAGUGAGUCUGGGAUGCCACUGUUACUCUUUUGUGUGUUAUGUGAGUCUGACAUGUUUGAGAUAUACACAGGAUGUCCCCAAAUAAUGUAGCAGUAAAAAUAAGAUAUAAAAGUAGCUUUAUUUUAUGUUGGCCUUUUUGAAAACAUUCAACAUAUUUGUAUUUGCAGAAACCUUUUGUCUGUGCAGGGGCAGUGGGGGCUCGGGUAGCUCACGGGACAGAGCAGGUCUUAUAACCCGUGUCGUACGUCAUCCUCCCUCUCCUCAGAGAUAAUGUUUGAAAGGAUAUAUUGUUAUUAUUUACUUACCAAUAAGUCCCAUAGUAUAGUAUAAAACAUGCGACACAACUGUGAGGACUAUUCUGUUUUAUAACAACUUCCACAGCCAAAUGGUAUGAAGAAGGCUAAUUGUAACAUUACGCUACCGUUGGCCUAAAUACAAAGUGCAUUGCCAAAAUCCAUGAGUGAAGCUUAGUUUACAGAUUAGAUUAGUUUACAUUUCACACACACACACAGACAAGUGUAUUUAAAAAUUGAGUAGUCUGAGCUACUGCACCCCACAGCAGCACAGCUGCCCCACAGGUGAAUACAUUUUGACUGAUAGGAAUUAUAUCCAUGACCAUCAUAAUCCUGUGAGUGAUGAUGUGCUCUGUAUUAGUGUGUAUGCAGACAGUCUUUCACACACCAAGUAGAUAACCACUAAGAGUGCGCCUUCUUACUUAUAAGAGUGUGUGUGUGUGAAUAAUACAGUGAUGAAGGUUUGUGUGUGUGUGUGUGCACCUGCUGAUUGUGUCUUUAUGUGGCACCCAUCAUUUAGGCCAUAAGUGGAUUGAAUUCUGGUCUUUUUGCUCUGUUUUGGCACUGCAUUAUUUGUGUGUAAAUGUGUAUGUGCCGGCCAGUGUGUACCUGUCUUUGCACCACUGGUGUCCACCCUCUGAGUGUGUGUGUGUGUGUGUUGUCCUGUACGCGUUGUCUUUGUUGUGUGCCUCUAAUCCCCAGGUCCCCGGGGCUCCGGGGGAACAGCUGAAGCAGGGGCAGCGGUGGCUUGUCAGCCCGGGGCUCCCGCUGCUCCUCUCCCUUUCACUGCUCCCCAUAUGGUCCUGCAGCGCCGGGUCCCCGGGGGCCUGUUAGCGCCACACCACCCAGGCCCGGGCCCUGCCACCAGGCCCCUCUUGCCUCCUGUCUCACCCUUGCCCCUUAUCCCCUUGUACCCUCCCUCCCUUUGUGCCCCUCCCCCGCUGCUCCCUUCUUUUUAUUGUCUGUCCUGCGUCUCGAUAUGAACCCAUAUCUUUCCUCCCCGUGUUGUUGUCUUGUGUUAAGCGUGCACUCCCCCGACCCUUCCUCUACCUUUUAACUCGUGUUUCUUUUCUUCCCUGCCCUUCUCUGAAGUUAAUAUGACAAUUUAUGGCUCCCAUUAGAUGUAUGAAUUAUCUCCCGUUCUUACCAGCAGGAAACAUUUUUGAAGAAACUUUGUGUCCAGCCCUCGCCGACACUACGGGCUACAUGAAGCGAAUGCGUCUCGUGCCGACCAGUGGCCCAGCAACACCCAUGGACCCCGGAGACGCCAAGGCUCUCUCUCUGUCUCUUUAAGGAGUGAUUUAGACUCUCCGGGCCCUCAGCAGACCUUGUUUCUAGAAAAGUACCUCAGUUUAUCUUCACCAACAGAGCCUUGAGGGUCUCUCAAUCAGCUGUCACUACCUCUCGGGGAUUACCGGGGAUUUAUAAAUGAACAGGGAGUGCUGUGUCACACAAGUUAUCAAACAGAUCAUAAAACACCAUCCCUGGGAUUUGACUGUUUAGUUACACGUGUUGUAGCUGUGUCUUAUGGUAAUGCUGCUGAGCGUAGGCACUAGAGGGAGGAGGUCUGUGAUCUUUAAAAUUUGAUUUGUCUUCAUCUGAGCAACGCGAUUGAUCCACCUCAAGUGAAGCCAGGUGAUGCUGUCUACACGUGUUAUCAAUGGAAAUGUCUUCAAUUUGAAUUUUUCCUACUGAUUUAGUCUUUUUCGGUAAUGCUUUUCAUAUCUCUUUCUCUCUCUUGGAUCCACAUAUUGAGUCCUAGCGCCCUCUGUUGACAGCAGGAGGACAUUGUCCAAAAGCGCCCACAUCACACCUCCCGUGGAACCCCGGCCGUUAACAGGCCAGAACGAGCUCAGCAGAGCUUAGACAGUCCAAUGGAGGAUAGCACAACGUAAUUGCUGCUUUGCAGACAGAGAUACAAUAACUAAAAGUUAUUAUUUCGAACAUUCAUUUUAAUAGACAUAAAAGAAGUUGACCCUUUUCUGUGGUGAUGAUUAUUGCAGCUCAUGCAAUAAUACUGGUGAUCAACAUUUGCGGGGCUGCUGCAUGUGCACAUAAAGUGACAGAAGAGGAGUCCGCCUGAUUUUUUUAAAUUAUUUUGGGAAAAGUCCGUCAUUGAUAGUUUUACUAUGUUGGUGACAAAAUUAUUUCAUGACUACUCAUUUAAAUAGUUAAAAAAAGUUGAAUAAGAAGUUUGAUAACGCCUCGAUCUUUUUUUUAAUUAAUUAUCAACAUAUGUUGGUCUAAAUGUAAUUGGGAUUGGGAUUGGCAGCUUUCCCUUUGCGCUUGAAAACAGCAUGCACAAGGAAGGUUAGGAUGAACACCACGGCCGUGCACCCCUUCUCAAAGGACUGAUGUUGCUACUAACCCUUAUUAAAAAACCCUAAAACAGAUCUUAACAGUAUAUACAAGUCAAGCAAAUCUGUCAGAUACAGUGCGAGUUUGGCCCCUCGUCACUCCCCGACUGCAGACGGUGUUUGGGCAGGCUGUGGAUCACGGAAAAGGGGAAACGCUGCAUUUCCCUUCUUUGAAACUUAAUCUUUCAGGGUCCCCGUGUUGUGUCUCUGAGUGCAAUAUCCUCUGCUGCACUCACGCUGUCAUCGACUGCCUCUCGCAGCCUUCUUCUCUCUCUGUCUCUGCCUCCAUCCACCACCACACCCCUCCCUUUCCUCCACCCCCUCCACCUCCGCGCGCAGGGCUCCAGCGAAGCCUGCAGCUGGCCGAGGCCCCCCCUCCUCUGGGCUAAAGACUCGGCAGGGGGGCAGGGCUCUGGAUCCAGCUUAAAGAAAAGCAGGCAGAUCAAGGACAAGAAAUACUGGGGGAGAAAAAAGUAAUGUAUGAUCCUCACUGUGAACAACCCCCACCAACCAUUGCCAGCCCCCCCCCCCAACCUCACCCUCAUCUCCGUUUCUAUAUAUCUCUCCUCUCUCACUCUCUGAGAGCCUCCCCCUGUCCACUUUGGUUUACCGCUGCUCUCCGAGCUAACUGGUUUCAGAUGCGGGACGAGGUGGAUGCCCCCCCGUCUGUAGGCAGACACACGGAGUGACUGCACGUGCACUGCAGCGCCAUGUCGCUCUGACCAAGAGGUGUUAACUUGAUGCUCUCGUCCAAAGGGACGUAAACGUUAGCAAUUAAUACACAGGGAGCAAAAGGCAAGAAGUUUAAGGGCCAAACCUACUUUUGAAAUGGUUAAUAACCGCUUACUAAAGCCUAGUAGAUUUGGGUAUCUACCGCAGGUACACAUGUUUACAAGUCAUUUCGGGGUGUAUACAGUAUGUUAAUGAUUGUGGGUGCAGAUGUGCUGCCGCUCAGGUCGGAGGUCAAAUGCCAGUCGUCAUCCUCGUGAAUUAAAGCAUUAAAGCAAAGAGAAAAAAACAACAACCAAGCAACAAUCUGAAAAACUAAAAUGUAAAAUGUUGUUAUUAUUUCUAGCGAAUUACUUAAUAAUUAGUAAAUGACACAUGGAUUACAUAAAUGCAGCCAUAUUAGCCACAACUCCAAGAAUGUUCUGUUGUCCUUUCAGCAUGAUGUAUUUGGGAGAUGGAUUCUGUGAGACUGUUGUGAGACUACAUUUGUAUACAAAUUAACCUACACAACUAGUGGUUUCAAUGUGUAAAUCAUAUCACAUCUGCUCACCUUUGUCAGAUACAUGCUCUUCAGUCUCACAUUAUUCCACCCAUCCAUUGCUUUUUCAUUUUAAACUUUUUAAAAGACACAUUGCUACUCCUUGGUAUGUGCAUUCAAAUUGAUUUCCAAUUAACUACAAGUUAAAAUGUGCUUGGUGUGUCUGCUCAGUCAUCUCAGAUGGGACGGAAAUGAAUACAGACGAUAACUUCCUGGAAAUGUCAUCUUGUAUACAGCUUAUCCACAGAUACAGCACUAAUGAAGCUCUCCUGCAUGUCUGUGGGAGGAAGCCAGGACCCGGAGAGAACCCACACAGGCACGGGGAGAACAUGCAGCCGGUGCUGGGCGGUUCUGAACCCAGGACUUUCCUGCUGUAUAACCACCACACCAGCCCUUUCCUGUAAAAAUAGAAGAAAUAAAAAUGUUAGUUACAAUGGUUGUGAUGGAACACGUAAGUGAUGAGCACAGCUAAGUUACUUUUAAAGUAAAUCAAAUCAGAACAUGUUGAAUAUCUGAAUUAAAAAUCAAAGUCCAUGUACACCUCCAUGUCCAGUCAAAGAAUGGGGCAGGUGUGUGUCUGUCUCUGUACAUGCUGUGUUCUGUGUGCAUCAGCUUUAACAUGCCAGUCAUGUGUCCUCCAUCAAUUACUAAGUUUUUGCCUCAGGUGUUUAAUCAGGUGCGCAUGUGUUAGUGCCUUACACGAGCAGAUUAAUAACUCCAUUAUUUGGCUUCCAUUCAUUCGCUUUUCCCUCUUUCUCUCUCUGUCUUUGCGGUUGCACUUUCUUCUGCUUCCCUCUCUAUCUCUGCGUUCCAUUUGCAAGGUGUGAUAUUGCUUUAAUUGAGCAGAAACAUGUGGAGCGAUCAGACAUAUCUCGGGGGAUUAGAGGAAAAGCUGGGAGUUUGUGCGACUGGCAGCCUGUGUUUGGAGCACGGGGUCUGCUGGGAAUGAAUGUAGUUAGUGUGACCCCUGACCCUGCGAGCUGUUGACGUGGAAGCCGGCCAAGAGGGGUCCAACAGAACGCUUUUGUUAAUCUCAUUCAGGGCUCCCUGUGAACUGUGGACUGGGGGAAAGCUGGCAGCUCAGACCUGUGGAAUGCAGAGCUCUUUAUUCCCAUGCUUUGGAAACAGAGGUGGGCCGUGGAACUAGCAGACUCCUUUAGCAGGACCUCCUCCACUCAGCUCAAUCGACACUGACAGUUUCCUGGCUCAGGCUUGCCAACUGGCAGGGCAGCGGUGCAGGGGGGACAAAUGCGCCCCACCAGGGCUGCAAAGGCCAGAGAGAGCGGGACAGAACUUCUAACGGGCCGCUACAGUAGUCGGCCACUGUUUGGAAAAUCCUGGUUAUGCUCACUACAUUUACACAUCAGCUUUGGAUGCACAAAUACAAAAACACUGGCAUUCAUGAGGUCGCACAGUUAAUACUGGAAUAGCAGUAAUAGCCUAACGUCGCUUAGUCAUUGGCAUCAUCUCAAGUGAUGUAAAGAUGUAAUAUUCAGAGCCUUAAUAUGUCACCAACUGACUAACAUCCAUGUAAAGAGGACGUACUUCUACCUGAUUGUGUGUUUCUAUCACAGCCUCAGCUCUCUUCUAGUGCACGUUAGUGUGAGCUCCUGCCUGCAGCUCUGUACUACUCCCAGAUGGCAGCAGGUAGCACUCUCCCAACGGACCACGUCAUGGAAACGUAGCUUCCUCAGGUAGUGUUUACCUGUAGCGUUUACCUGAGUUUCAGAGUUGUAUGGGUUACUUUGAAGAGCUCUAUGUUAACACAUCAAGUAGAUCCAGUGGCUGAUAACUGUUGUCAAUGUAUACCGAUGGCAUCCUACUUCCUUCAGAAUGGGGUCAUUUCUGAAUGGCAUUGCUGGACAGAAAUACGGAUUGAAAUGACCAAUUCUUUUGCAUGCUCCUGUCCAAAAAUGAAAUCCGGAGAAAUCCCUGAUGGAACUCCCUUAGCGACCCCUGGGAGAUACUCGUACUCUCAACCUUAUAGAGACCUCUGCAGCUGUGGGGAUAUGGAGAGGCCCCCAGUAGACGUAAGACAUUAACCACUCAGUGGCUAGGCCAGAUCAGUCAAGAUUAAAUAAGCGUACCCCUCCACUGGUGUGAAAGGAAAGCUGUUGGAGACUAAGUGGUAAUCUCUCAGGUUGAUGGAAGGUUAGGAAUCAAACCCCAAAGCACACAGAGACACACCACCUGACUUUGAAAUGUGAUUUUGAGGAAUAGUACGGACCCCGUGCAACAAAUAGCAUUGUCUUCAGAAUGUUGUGCUUGAGAGCUCGGCUGAAAGACAGGAAGUAAGGGAGUCAUGGUUUGGGAGGAGAACUCCUCCUGCUCCCACAGCGCUGCCAGUCAGCUGAGUCCGCUGCUCAGCGCCGGCGGGGGAAAUACCUGCCGGUCUGCACAAUAGUGCUGCUGGGAUUACAGGCCCCCCUGCUGCUGAGCAGCCCGGCAACUGGGGAGGGAGGAAGGCGGGAGUAGAUGAAGGGGAGGUGUGCACAACAUCUACAGCGUCCUAAAGUCGACCAGGGACUGAUGCUUUAAGACUGUGUUCAAGUCCAGCUCUAGAUCAGGGUUUAAUGGUUAUAGCUUUCAAAAAGGUGAUUUCACGGUCCUUUCAUUAGUUACAGAGUUGUCACAAGUACAAAUUGCUCUGACAAAUAUUAAUAAUCUGGUGACAUUUAAAGACAACUGUUUAAGCACAAUCACCCCAACCAAAUAAAAAUACAAAUAAAAAAUAAUAACUAGGUGCUGCUUCCCCACCUCAACACAAAUAUGUCAAAACCCAGGCAAUGCCUUGUCCCGAACAACACAGACACACCUCCUCCCCCACUGCUUUUCUCUUAAGCUCUCUCUCUGACACGCAGGCUGGUGGCCAUGUCCUCCGGUCUGCUGGUUGGAGUGUGUGCCUGUGAUUUACCUGCUGUCCCUGGCUUUAAUCCACCCCAUAUGGGGAACAAUGGCCCAUAAAGACGCCUUUUAGUGAUCCGGGAGUGAGCCAGGAGUCUGACGCUGUUGGCAUCUGGGUUUAAACUGUGCAGUAAGAAUGAAAGCAUACUUUUUAAAUUCCUCUUUUUGCGACUGAAGUGUAUUUAUUUUAGAAUACCGCUUCAGGUAACAAGGUAACACAGAUAUUCUGACGUAUACAUGUGCUGCUGAGAGUGUUCGUUGGUGCACUAAUGCAAUGAGAGCAUGUGUGUGUGGUAUUCCUGCGCUGCAGUUGGCACUUUUCUGUGCCGAGCAGAUGGAGGGAAGAGUGAUUCUGGCUGCAGCUCUUCAUAUGAAUAUAGGUUCUCUCUCAUAGCUGCUUCUAUUCGUUGUAUCUACACAAAUGUGUAAAUGAGUAAGUGUGCAACACAUUUAGUCAAUUUGCUGCUAACCCAGUUAUUGUUGCAAUAGGCUUGUGUAGAUGAGUAAAGAGUCAGUUGACCCAAAUCCCAAAACCAAAGCAUAUUUUCUUACUCCCUCUUCUGGUAUUGAACCAUGAUGGCUAUCAUCAGUAACUAGAUUUUGUCACGUUUGUUUGGUCUCUGAGAUUUCUGCCUUGUCUCCACAAAGGACAUGAAUGGAAGUUAAUCCGUGGUGCUCACAGAAAAUUAAACAUUUUAAAAUAUUGUUUUAUUAUUUCAGAUUCAGAAAAACAAGAACAAUGGGCCUUUACAGAAACUGUGAUUACGCUGGAUAAUCCAUAUCAGUCCUGUCUCCUACAGAGUAACGUUCCAAGACAACAACGCGGCACUGAGCGGUUGCAGUUUUAAAGUGUUUUCAAUACACGUUAAAGAGUAAAACACCACAGUGAACAAUAAUCUCACAAUACUGUGAAAUUGAAAAGGUCAACACAGCGCCUCACUUCUUUAGGUCACAAAAGCACUUGGUUCUCAGCCGACGUGAGCAGCAGUCUCCUGGUGAAAGACCUUUUUUGUUUCAUACGUUUUAGAAAAAAAGUCAUUUUCAAUGCAGUUUAAUUUAAUUUAACCCUAACCCAGAUCUGUUCAAAGAAGAUAUAGGUCUCAUGAAAUAUGUUGUGUGUGUUUUGUUGAUAAUCUAAAAAAAAGCAUGGAGGUGUGUUUUAUGAAUCAACAUGUUGCUAUUAUUUUAUUUUCAUUUAUCUUUUUUUUUUCUCAAAAAAAUGUAAUCCAUCUGCACAGUAAUGGAGAUGAGACAGAAGGUUGUAUUAGAAGUCAUGACUGUAAUUCCUCUUUCUUUCACUUUUUUUCAAUAUUUAAGGUAAAAUGAUUGAGGUUUUCUAAAUUCAAGGUUCCUAGAGGACGCAUUAGAUUUACAGAUUUUUUUUUACUUCAUACAGCUUUCACACCAGUGGAAACAAAACAUCCAUAAUAUACAUUUAGAUCUGUAGUAGAUCUAGUGCUAUGUCUAUUUGUUUGGGCGGGGUUCUCCUAAAUACCCUAAACGUAAACAAUGCCUUGCUCAAACAUAACAUUUCUGAAAAAAAUUUUUACAUCAUUUUUUACAUCAACUAUAAUGAUAAAUAUAAAUAAUCCAAUGAUAUGUUAGUCCGGCAGCGUCUUAACAAAAUAUGCAACAUAGAAAGUUAGUUGCAUACACAGAGUAUCCAGAAAUCUCCACUUCAGGAUGUAAAACACAUUCUGAAAGUUUUAACUGAUGGCUGUCAUAUACCUCUCAUAGCCUGAUUUAAACAACAUUGUAUUACCAAAAGCAUGGAGAAAAUUGAUUCCAUAUGGCUGCCCUUUCUGAUUUAUGGAAAACAAGGACAAAACCUCUCUGUAAAAAGAUCAUGCAGCACACGAAUAUUGAACCUCAUCCAAUAGUUAUAUUUCUCUUUUGGAAAUGUAUGCAACAAAGCACACGUUUUCCACACCACCCACCCACCCCCACUGCUAGUAGACUUUUGUCCUCCCUGGCUACUUUGGUCACGAUGCUGUGAGCUUCAUAAACGGCAUGUAGUGAGAGCUGCGGGACCUUCACACUAAAUAAACGUAUAUGUUGAUACACCACAGCACAGAGGUGGAGAAAUAGUGGGGCGUGUAACUGCACCGGGCCCGCCCCUCUGGGGGUUUACAGCCAAUGGGGCAGUAAAGAUGUCAGAGCCAACAACCGGGUGGGAUCCUUGCAAGAGAGAGAGAGGAUGUCGUUACGUGUAAUGCAAACGCCUCUGAUUCCUGCUCCCUCUCCACUUUGAGGUCUUUGCAACGGUUCGGUCUUCCUGCCAGAUAUCACAGCUAAACAUUCAACCUUGAUGUGUCCCAUAAUCUGCUGCAUGGCUUCGCUGGUGACCCUGACACCCCCUUGCGCUGGCCCUUCAGCUAGCCAGCACUGUGUUUCCUUUGUUUAACCCUUGACCUGAGAAAACAAGACGUGUUCCAGAGUUCUGAGGCGACUCAGGGGAAGGGGAAGUGUUUGGUUACAAAUUAAAUAUAUAAGUGUCAUGAGCCAUAAAUCGCCAGGCGUGCUAGCAGCGCUGCUACUGAAACGGCAUGUGGUACCAAGCUCCCACCAUAAAGUUUUAAGGCCUCGCAUCCAUCUCUGCUUUUCAAAGGGGAUUUGGAUGAGGACUGGUCCCAACGCAAGAUGGAUCCCGAGUGUCAGGAAAGAAAAGAGGAAAAGGAAGAAAACGGAAACAAAAGGAUGGGGAAUUGAAGGACAAUAGCGGUAGAAGUAGACUGUGAGGAGUGAAUAAAUAUGAUUUGGCAUGGUUGCAGUAGAGUGAAGAUGAACUAAAGAGAAAAUUGUAUUUUGCAGAUAAUGGAACCUGAUUUAAAAUGUAAGGAAAGGGAAAUGCAGAACAAAGUGAAAAAUGCAAAAACGGGAAAAAAAUCAUACAUGACUUCAAGCCUUCAUGUAAUAUAAAAAGGUAGACAUAUACAAAACUCCAUGUUCGACAUCAGUUUCAUUCUUCAGCACUGGAGGUUUUCUCUUUGUUUCUUCUUGUUUUUAAUUUAAGUUUGUUAACUUCACCAAAGGUGAGCCAGGUUGACCUAACUCAUUAUUUUAAGAUCUAAUAAUGUUCAAUAUUCUCAUUGAUUUCAUUUGAAGUACCAGUUAUCUUGGAAAAAGUCCUGGGACUGCUGGGGUUGACACAAGAUCAUCCAUGGCCAACAGAGGGGCCCUGCGUGUCGAACCACCUUUUCUUGUGUUUUUAUUAAGCGUUGUGGCGUCUAAUUCUCAAGGUGUUUGCCUCUCGUCUGUUUGGUUUUGCCGGUUUGCUGUUGUUGUGGUUUUCAUAAAAUGUAAUAACUGUUUUUAAUUUACAUAACUGAUGAUUUGCAACUCACAAGCACCUCUAAAUAAUGACUUAUCAUACUUGUCCUUGGCUCACAUCAUAAUUGCUACGGAUCACUUGUGGACAAAUGUUGAACCUUAUCCAGGCCGGAUAUCCAGUGGAUAUCCAGGCCAAGACCUCCACGUUGUUUACAUUGCAAUUAGUAACUUGAGAUGUGGAAAUGGAGUCGGAAUUGACAGAGGACGUGCAUAAACAAAUUGUUUCACAAGUAAACAGUUUACAAACAGAUUUUAGGCAGAUUUUAUUUUUGAAAAUUUCAACCAUAACGAGGUGGGUCCCCUGAUUACAUUUCAGUCGAUGCAUUCGGCCCCUUUUGCUUCAACCACAGACGGUUCCACUGCGAUUCGCCAUUACAACUUGGAACUACAAACCAAGGUACGACUGCUUCUCUUUAUGACAGACAGCUAUCAGCUCCUGUGUAAUCCCAGGGCUUUGGGCAGAGCGAGGUGUUGACAGCUAGACAACACAGCCUGCUCUAAGCAACGUGGUAAAUGACACAGAUGUAAAUUCUGCAGACAAUUGCCAGCUGUGACUGAAUCUCAGAUCCACUAUUCCCAUUUGACAUACAAUAUGUGCUCAUGGUGGUUUAGGUCGUAUUUUAUGUCUGAUCAUGCGGCCUAUUCCUACAAAUUAAAAAGGAAUGUUCAUGUAUUUCAUGCUUAAACCCUCUUACACUCUUGUUUAGCUGGACUGGAUAUCAAUGCUUGCUCUUAUUUUUCUCAUAUCCCUCCACAGCUCCCUGAACAUCCGCGAUUUCACGUUGAAAACCAUUUUAGAAAUGCCAGGGCUGCGUUGGUUUGGAACUGCGUGAGUGCAUGUGUUUCUUGUGUUGAGUGACACAGGUCAGCUGGCUUGUCCAGGCUGUAAUGUGUUUGUGUGGUGCUGGGGGAGGGGGUCUGCCACGGGAAACAAGGUCAUUCCUGUGUUGAUAUGGCGGUCUCAAUCUCUCCUCUGGGACCCGCCGGCAGCAGAGCACUGAUGCAUACUGGCUUGGAUUACUCAGUCAUGAACUCUUAUGGGCCCAAAAGAAUUACACCAACGGCUGUGGAGCUUUUCCGUAUUGAUACCGCACUGAGUGUUCAAUUUAGCAGAAAAGCUUCAAUUUCGAUGGUCUUUACAUGGAAAGAAUAUGAUUGUAGUUAUCUAAUUAACUGGCAAUGGGAAUGGUAAAUGGCACUUCUUACCAUCUCAGUUCAGCCAGGCAACCCACACUGCGAGAGACCUACAGACAAACAUAAUGUCCAUUGACGGAUUUCUAUUUUUAUCUUUGAUCGCUAGGAAGGAGCAGACAACUUCAGGCUGACUGAAACUGUUUAAUUGUGUUGUUUCGGGGCAGAAAUGAACAAAAAAGAAGAUGCUUUUGGUUAAAACCUUGGAUGAAGAUGCCUACUGAGGGAAUCAGAGCCCAGUGAACUUUUUAAAAGCUGAGUUGAGGGAAAACUGUUUCUACACACCGUGGGUAUCUAUGGGUGGGUACCGCAUACACCCUGAGCCGACACAGAAGCGAUGUUUCACUGUGACCCACAAAUCUGUGUUGAAAUCUGCAGCAUGAGAACGAGUUAGUACAGACUUGGACAAGAAAUGUACAAGUAAUAAAUGUGUAACAAACAAAUAGAACAGUGAAAGAGUGCUACAUGACUAUAGAUAUUUAGAAUCAGAAACAAUCAAUAUGGUCGAAAAGCAUUGCAUCCUGUUCUAAGAAGUUAAGUCUGUGCAGUUCGAAGGUCAAGUUUUUUUAAAUUUAACAAUAGACGUUGUGUUAUGCAUAGAUAAGAUGUGUGUUGAGAAAGUGAAAAGGUUCAUGUUGAAAUUGAUCGCGCACACUUGAGUAGUCACCUGACUUAGUUCUCUUUCCACAGAAUCUGUAUCCAGUAGAGUCUGAACCUGCAUGUGUUGUCAAGCUCAUUGUCUUGUCAUGUCUAACUUGUAACCCCUCUCCUAGUACUGCAUUAUAUACAGUACUUCCUAGUUUUUCCAUGGAGCAAAGCCCCCAAGAAUCCCAUGCUUCAAAGAUCUUCUCCUUUGAAUAUGUGACAGAUGAAAGUAAAAACAGGAUUACAGUAUAAUCCCUCUCGAUUGUUUGUGUCUUUUGGCCACUGGGAGAUCUCUGAUGUGGUCCUGCCCUGCUGGAGAGGGAGACAAAAAGAGGUGGUGUGUGUGUGUGUGUGUGUGUGUGUGUGUUGGUGGGUGCACUUUCUUCAGUGCCGUCCAGUAAUGAGAGCCAGCAAUAAAGUGGAUGUAUUCAUGGACAACUGAAGCCAGCAAUUAAGGAAAGAGGUAGCCAGCUUCAGACGGCCACUUUGGAUCUUUUAAAUGUAAAUACAGCCGCUUCUCUCAAAGUGCUCGGUGAGAUAUUCCAAAUGAAAUCCCCUCUCACUAAUGAGGGAGCUGUGAUAUUUCUACGCCAAGCCUCUCCACGGCGCUACCACGCUAGGCAGCCCAAGCUCUUGUUGAAAUGUUUUAAUCAGGCUGAGGGAACAGGGAUUAUGAUAUAACAGAGGUGGUGGAGACUAGUCUUCCUCUGUUUCCCAUAUCAACACUCUACUGUUUGAUCUGCCCUGAAAAUCUACACUGCUGUGACUCCCUUAAUUAGCUGAAUGGAUGUAGACAACAUAUCCUACAUGGUAAAUUGCCGGAGUUGACAAGUCACUGAGUAAUAUUCCAUGUUCAACUUAAUAAAGGACAAUACUUCUGCAAAUAAAAGUCAGUCGCUGUUGCCAGAGGAGAUAAUAACACAAAGAAACUGCUCAUAUAGAUGCUGUCAGGAGACAAAUUAUAAUCAUUUUAAAAGCAAAGCUCUUUUAUUUGGUAACAUUUGGUGUUGGCAAGAGCUCUCGUAGCCAGUAAAUUGCCGUUGCCUUGAUCAGCUGGCGCAGCCUGUCCCAGACAAGCUGCAUUGUGCCAUCGUUUUCUCCCAUCUGCCCGGGUUUGAUGUCUCCUUCGCCAUUCUAAGCAUCCUCACACACUCCUUUAGCAGCAGGUCAGGUCACUACACACUGGUUUGUGAUGCGGGAGUCAAAGCGCCGCAGUCAUCUUUCUGCCCACUAACAAACAACAGCUUGACUCGCAAUAUUGUUGUUGUGUUUGUUUGUUAAAAGGGAGAGAGGCUCGCCUGGCAAUGAACCAAUUCAAAUGAGCUGUUUAAGAUAUGAGAGUGCAUUAUGAAUAGGAAUGAAGGUGGUUGUAUGUUGCAGGGAGCCUCACGGCGUAGACGCGGGCUGUUUUCCUUUUUUCCACUUGGUGGAGGGUUACACGGUGGCCUGGAGUGGAAGUGGCAAUUAGCCUUUAUUUGCAUUGCCACAGAAAUUCAUUCAAUUACCACCAUUUAGGCAGUUACUUUUGACAUGCACUUGGUAAGUGGAUAUUACCAUCUAUUCUUUGUGGGCAAUGAUACGUUAAUGCCUGUAGGCAACUACAGAUCUGCUUUCGAAUUGAAUUUUGAAUGGAAAACUUUAUUGUUCCCCAGUGGGGAAACUAAUUUGGCCCCAAAAAACACUGAAAUGGAAAACAUUAGACACAGUGACCAGGCACAACAGACAAAAACACCUCAGAAAAAUCCAUAUGAAACAUAAUUAAACAACAUGCAUCUAACAACAAUAUCUAAGCCGUUCAUCAAAUAAUAACUGCGGCUGGAAGACCCUCUAAGAGGUAGAACUCAGUAGAGCUCUUUAUCGCUCACUAAAGGAGCUGCUGAGUCCAUUAAAUAACGGGUAGUCGAUGGCCUUACUUAUUUUUAAACUUGGUCUUAGUUCUGUUAUUUACAAUGAGUCCACGGUAAGGCCAAUCACUGAGCCUUAUCAGCCUCAUCUUAUUGAUGCUGAUUUUAUGUGAUGCCACCCCGCCCGUAGAGGAGCGUAAAGAGGAUGCUAGCCAAGAUCCCCCGGUAGAGAAAACAAGGAAGCCUACUGCAGAUAUUAAAGGAUAUUAGAGUCGUUUUAAAUACAGCAUCAGUGUUCUUGUUCUUUUUCCUUUGUCCAGAUAGCUCCAAGAUAUUGUUGCAGAGCACCUAAUAAAAAAUGUCUCAUACUGUACGUGUGAUUAGUGAUUACCUAUUCUGAAAUCAAGCGUGCUUCAGCAAAUGUACUUGGCUCAGGCUCAUUUCAUAUUCUGUUCUUCAACGUUGAAUGAAGAGAGAGAUAGUUACUUCACUGUUGGUCUUUCCCAUCAAAAUGAUCAGGUGUGGAAGGAUCCUCCUUAAUAUGCUCUGUUUAGUACAGCACAUUUCUAAGCAUAAAACUUUGGUUUGAUUAAAGUUCCAUUUGCUGAAGUUUCAUAGAGAUUGAAUCCAUUUUUUAUUUCAGUCAAGACAGCUUUCAGAGUACGGAAACUCAUUUGUUACUUUGUGUGCAUGAGAGUCUUAAGCAAUUCGACCCCAACUCGAUGUAGUCAUAUUUCCGUCUGGUGUCAUGGUUACUGAGGUAAAGGACGAGGGGACGGUUUCGUAUCGUACAUACAUCCUCUCUCCAAACUCAAGCUGGCCCUGUGCUUCAAACUAUGGCCCUCUAGAUGCGCUUCUCUCAUCAGUGUGAGACUGAAACAUUCUCCACAUGCAUAGUGUCUUUUCAAAAUAAACAUCCGUCUUCAAAAGGAAGUUAGGUUUGGAAAAAGAACGUCAACUUGACAAAUGAGUCACAGGACAAAAUAAGUCAGGAAUGACUUUUAACAAUAAUAAUAAUACUUGUUUUUUAUAGCGCUUUUCUUGGUAUCCAAAUAUGCUUUACAAUGUAAGUAAGUAAGUAAGGGAAGCGUACAGAUAAGAGGAAGACAGAAACAUAAUAAUAAUAAAAAAUUAAAUAAAUUUAAAAAAUAAAUUGAUCUUGAGAAAACUGGAACAUGUAGGGACUCCUGUUUGUUUCACAAGAGAAACAAACAGGAGUCGCCUGUCUGAAAGUCUUGUGUUUGUUUGGCCUUUCCACCGCAUGUUAUACUACGUCAGUUGCGGGAUGCAUUGGCUGAGUUAAUAGCACACUAGAGGAUGCCCUGCUGCCUCGAUACAGACAUUGAGGGACCUUGACCAAAUGGUUGAGAUGGUCACUUUGUAUUGGAAUGAAAAAUGACAGUAUUUUCAGUAUUUCAUGUCAAAUUUGAGAGCAAUGAUAGUAGUGUCUUUGGGAUUUUUGGGCACAAUUUGGUUUGUUUGACUUGAAUUGGAAAGAGACAGUCUUCUCUAAGCUUGAUAUUAUCACUUGAGAAAAGGCGUUCACAUGAAAGCAACUGCUUCAAGAAACCAAGUUGAUAUGAAUGCUGAAAGUGAACCAAACUGUAAAGAUUUGGGCUUGGAAAACAAAGGAAUUUGCCAAUAAGCUUUGGAUUCAAGAAGAAACAAUAGUUCUGAUCCAAAAUUCACAUUGAGAAUUUAGAGCUGAUCAGUAGAAUCACAUCACAACACAUAAGGGAGCUGAGGUUGUCAGCUCCUUGCUCAAGGGAACAGCCUCAUUUGUUGAGGAGCUUAUACUUUCUUACCUCGGAGUCUUAUUUUUGUCUUAUUUUAUCCACAGAUUUGAAUCUAUCUGACUGGUCAUAGAAUUAUUAGCGCUCUUCCAAUGCAGAUUAGCUGCAAAUUACAUAGAGACAGAUCUUGAUCUUGCCCCACUCUCUCAAUCCAAAGCUUUAAAUCUUCUGAAGAGUCUCAUCUCCACCUGACUAGGAGAAAUCAAUUCUUUAAUCCCAGUCUCUUACGCUGGGUUUUGGUGUACUUCAGUCCUGAAGUGAUGCAAGCCGAGUGUGCGUGAGUGUAACAGUGAGUAGACGUCCCAGAGGACUGUGCCGAGGCGGAGGCAGUGUUUGCGCUCUUUGCAGCCGGUGGCAUUAGGUGUUGGAGGCGAACAUAUGAAGCUUGCUCCUGUGUCCCCAGAUAGUUACACCCCGGUGGCUUCUCUCUGAUGCUGAUGCCAUAGAUACUGCAGAAGCCAACUGCUGUCUGCUCUAUCACAUUGAGGUGACAUUGCUGACAUUGCAGGUGCAAUAACUGCCCACUAACAUUUGCCAUUUCAUUUAUAUUACUCUUGGAGGAAAGUCACACUGUCUUUACAAAAAUACAUUUCAUGUAUUGAACUACAAAAAUUGCACAGUUUAGAGCUAAUCUACACUCAGGUUUAGAUGGAGGAAGCAGGCCCUUAGCAUCUUUCCAUUUGUCCUACCGCCCAAAUAUGAUAUCGAAAUGUAUCAAUAAGGAUAGAAAGAGCCAGGAUUUUACUUUGAUAACUUACAUCGUAAAUUGUACGUUGAAGCAUUUGCCAACUAGGAUUUGUAUAAUGUGAAUCACACUGAUGCAAUGAUACAUAUAAUCCCUUUACAUCUGUGUCAGUUGACAGGCUCUACACUUAUGUUCCAUAAGACACUCGCAGAGUACAGUUCAGACCUGAUACAGCAGGGGUGCCCAAUAGGUUGAUUGAAGGCCGAACCAGUAGAUGCGUGCCAUCGAUAAAAAAAUGACGUCACGUCACGCACGGGCGGUCGACCGCUUGAGAUGACCGAAACUAAUGCUAAUUAGCGAUUAGCAUUUCAUUUCAUUCCAAAGGAACCCAGGCUGACUCCAAUAAGGUGUCAGCCACAAGUCACAAGCAUCUACCAAGAUGCUUGUGACUGUUCCCUCCUUCUGACAGAUGAGAGGCUCGUGGUUUUCUUCAUAUCGACUCGUUUUGCUGUUGUUUCAUUUGGUUACCGCUACUACCCGCAGACAAUUACCCCCCAUCGGCCCGCCCUCGGAGGGCAGGGGGUAGAUUGCUAUGACUUGGUCAGUUCAAAAUUAGCUCGCGAGCCGGAAAAGUGUGGGACCCCUGUGCUACACCAUGUCAGCUAACUCGUCUGUCAGGCUCAGGUCGGUUACAGAAACAGAUAAUGUAAAUUUAACACACUCUCUUUGUGGUUUGCAUUCUUCACAAUAUUGUUAACAAACCACAAAUCAGGAGUUGUGUCAUUUGGUGUCACCAUGGCUGAUUCUUAAGAGUUAGCCUGGGCUACCUUUUAGUGUGUGUUUCUCUUGUGGCAUAUAUCCUCCGGUAUCUAAGUGGACUGAACCCAUCAGUCUGUGUUGCUCUUGUUGAAAGCAUAUUGUGUCUUAGAAGGUUAGACCCUAUGUCAGGUAGUGGACUGAAGCCAGGUCAGUAUUCCGCGGCCGCAUGGUGCAAUCAGCUCAUCCUCUCUACUGGCUACGCUAAUGCCUGCAGGCAGUAAGCAGUUGUUCAAUCCCGGUGGGUCAGCAGCGGUUUCAGCCGGCUCUAUUGGGUCAGGAGGCCGAGCGAACAUCACGCCUCCUUCCCCCUUUACAAAGGCCAAUGCAGCUCCUCUGGGCUUUUGUUGCAUGCUGGGAUAUAUUCAGCUACUCCGUUUGGCUGGUUUGGAGGAAUGCUGAGGGUGCGCCCCCUCCCAUCAGUUGGUCAGUGGAGCGAGGAGGGAUAUCAAAGCUCUGUUGGGGGGGGGGGGGACUGAGAGGGUCAUGUCCCAUUGGGCAGAACAGGGGGGCCCUGGGCCCAUCACAUGGCUGAUGGCUGAUUUACCACUCCACUGGAGAGGUGAGGCCUCAUAUGCCACCAUUCGCUGUCCACCACACACACACACACACACACAUAUUCAAUGCAACUUUAUUGACAGAUAACCCAUACUGCUCACCAUCUUCACAGUCCUUUUGAACAUCAGUGUGCUUUCUCUGCAAACCAGCCAUCUCUUUGGCUGGGCUUCCGCUGAAGCACCUGUAUCGAUUCCUGCCUCGACCAAUUCAGCUGCAGCCUUUCAUGGUUCCCUCUAACUGUCUUUCUCCAUGUUUAUCUAACACAUUCUUUUUUCCAGUCAUUUUUGUCAUCUACUCCCAUUUCCUGCACUCACCGGAGACACCACUCUCACACUCCAUCCCCACAUAUGCUCUAACAUUGCUCACAUUUUGUCUAUUUUUGUUGUACUGUGAUGGAAAAUCAAUUCCUUUCACUUUGUUGUUGUUAUUUUCAGCAGCUCAUGUGUUGUCAGACAUCUCCACAUACAAAAGAUGCCAGGUAAAAUACUUUGCAUGGCUUUCAGGACCUUCUCACCUAUCAAUAAAUAAAGCACGGUGGUCCAAUGGAACAGCAUGAGCAGUCCCUUUUUUAACACCAUCACCAUAUGGUGUGCAUACACAUACCCCGUGUAGUCUCAUUUAAAGCACUAAUGUGUAUUGAUCUGUGUUCUUAGAUGCCUACUGGAUAGACCACUGUGUUGUGUUAUCUAACAAUAUAACCUGCUGUUGAGAUAAUAGUUAAACACACACUGAUGUCUUCUCCUGAGAAUUACUGUAUUUGCAUAAAGUGUGCAAUAAUGAUUCCUUCUCUGCUGAUUUUAAUACACGUUUUAGUGUUAUUACUAGGGCUGGGCAAAUAAACGGGUUAUUAUCUCAUUAAUUAAUCCCGAAAAUGUCUUUAUCGGCUGUUCGCUCAGUGUUUUUUUUUUAAUUCUUAUUUUGAAAGUCCAUUGCUCACUGGCUCUGAAUACACAUCAGAAUCAGAAGCCAUGUAUUGCCACAUAUGUUACACAUACAGGAAUUUGACUUGGUACAUUGGGGACAUCCUGGAGGCAAACAAGUCUUGGAGGGUUGGCAGAUUGCAGCCGAUCACCCUUUCUGCAGAGUGGAUGACACGCUGCUGCCUGCCCUUGUCCUUGGCUGCAGCGUACCAGAUGGUGAUGGAGGAGCAGAGUACUCAAUGAUGGCCGUGUGGAAGAGCACCAUUCUGGCAAGUAUCUCUGGCAAGUUGAAUUUCCUCAGCUGCCUCAGGAAGAAAAGCCUCUGCUGAGCCUUCUUGGUGAUGGAGCUGAUGUUCAGCUCCCACUUGAGGUCCUGGGUGAUGAUGGAGCAGAAAACGGCAAGAAUCCACAGCGGUGAAGGGGGAGUCACACAGGGUGAUGCGGGAAGGAGGGACUGUUCUUGAAAUCCACAACCAUCUCGUUGAGCUCCAGGUUGUUUUGGCUGCACUACGUCACCGAAUGGUCAGUUUUCCACCUGUAGGCGGACUCAUCCCCACCAGAGAUCAGUCCAAUGAGGGUGGUGUCAUCCGCAAACUUCAGGAGCUUGACGGAUUGGUGGCUGGAGGUGCAGCUGUUGGUUAACAGAGAGAUGAGCAGAGGGGAAAGAACGCAGCCUUGGGGGAAACCGGUGCUGAUGGACCGAGAGGCUGUGACAUGUUUCCCCAGCUUCACUUGCUGCUUCCUGUCAGACAGGAAGUCUGUGAUCCACUUGCAGGUGGAGUCGGGCAGGUCCAGCUGAGAGAGUUUGUCAUGCCGUCGCAUGAUGGUGUUGAAAGCAGAGCCUAAGUCCACAAACAGGACCCUGGCGUAGGUUCCUGGGGAGUCCAGAUGCUGGAGGGCCACAGCUGAUCAGCACAAUGCUUCAGAGUGUGGGGGGAGACGGAGUCCGGACCGGCUGCUUCACGGUUUUUCUUUGAAAGAGCCUGUCUUUCCAGAAUAGAGAGGGUUGUUGCUGGUGAGGGGGCUGGGAGAGGGAAGGGUGAUACAGAGGCGCGAGCCCCUGCUGGGCUGGGGAAGGGGUCUGGGGCAGGUUGGUGGAGCUGUGGAAGAUGGCGUCAGGACAUUGACUAUCAAAUCUGCAGUAGAACUCAUUCUACUCGUCUGCCAGGCGGACGUCAUUCAUGGAGUGGGGGGUUUUGGGCUUGUAGAGUCACUUGCUGAGAAUUGUUGUUGAAGUUUCUCAGAGUACAGUACACAGUCAUUUAGCAUCUCUCUCCACCUUGCUAAACCUGUCUGUGUACACGUCUUUGUCCCCACUCCUAAACGCCUGAUCUUUCUGCAGUCGUAGUUUUAUGAGUUCCGCUGUGAACAUUGUCGUUGUUAAAACUCACCCUGCUACAUGAUGGUACACAGCUGUUCUCACAGAAGCCAAUGUUAGAAGUUUAAGCCUCUGUGAACUCAUCCAGACUGUUGGUGGCAGUGCUGAAAACUUCCCAGUCUGUGCAGUCCAAGCACGCCCAAAGAUCCACUAGUGCCUCACUGGUCCACUUCUUGAAUUCCCUCACCACAGGUUUGAAGAGCUUUAGAUUCUGCCUGUAUGCAGGAAUCAGAUGCAGUGUCCCAGCGCAGCACAAGGGAUGGUGUGAUAAGCCCUGCUUAUGCUUGUGUAAACGUGAUCUAGAAUGUUAUCCUCUCUGGUUGUUUAUAGCUGAGAUUACCUUUGUCAAAGUCCCAGAGUACAAUGACCAAGGAGUCCGGGUUGGUCCGCUCCACACGCCGUAUCUGGUCGGCGAAUGCCUGCUGUGCCUCGGGCACGUUGCCCGGCGGCGGAUGAAUGAAGCGAACUCACGGGGGGAGAAAAAGGGUUUACAGUGGAUGAUGAAAGAUUCCAGAUCAGGAGAACAGUGUUGUAGAAUUAUUGUUAUGUCGUUGCACCAGCUGUUGUUGGAGUAGAAGCAGAUUCCUCCACCCUUCGUCUUGCCGGAGAGCUCUCUGUGUCGCGGCCCGCUCUGAGCAGCUGGAAGCCCGCAAGCUGGAGCACGGAGUCCGGUAUCGAGGCACAGAGGCAGGUCUAGAUGAAACACAAAACAGAAAAUGCAGAAAAGUAUCUUUAACAGUAGCUGAAGUUUGUCCUGUUUUCUGCAAAGCAGAAGUUGGAAAGAAAGAUGCCUGACAGCGGUUUACGAGAACCACGCAUGCGGAGUCGCACUAACAAGCUGGCCUGUUUUCCUCUCCUACAGCGUCACCUCACCACGUGAGUAAAGGUGAGCGCACCAUUCACUAGAAUGUUGAGUAAUUCCACAGCAGAAAGAAGAAAAGGAUCGACAGUGGCGCAUGAAGUAGAGAGGGUGCCUUGGGAACCGCAAGGUUGGCGGUCCGAGCCCCGGCUGCUCCAUGUCCCAUGUCGAAGUGUCCCUGAGCAAGACAUCUUACCCCUAAUUGCUCCCUGGGCAAAAAUGUUUAAAAAAGUGCAAUAUAAGUCGCUUUGGAUAAAAGCGUCAGCUCAAUGGCCUGUAAUGUAAUGUUAAAGAAAAGUUGGGGGACUUGUUUCCCAGAUGUUCAUGAGCUCAUCUCUGGAGAAAGAGCUCCGGGAAUCCCAACAGAAAACAGAAUUAACAACAAAAACAAAAAGCACUGUCAUACCAAGGUACCGAGGCUGCCAUCUGCGGCGGCAUGUUGGAUAGCAAUCCAGGGUGUACACCAUCUCUCGCCGCAUGUUAGCUGGGAUUGACUCCAGGCCCCCGCGACCCUGCUAGGCGAACUUCCUAACCGAUUGCAAGUUGUUUUUCUAUACCAAACUAUAUGCAACGUUAAUGCCGGCAGUGACUAAUUGUUAGUGACUGGCAACCACAGGGGGCAGGAGGAACGUAGUUGGGUGAAAAUAUAUACUUUACUAAAUAGGGUUUCGGUACACGAGUAGUCAGUCAUACAAAAGCUCACAGGUACCCAGAAACUGGUCGAGACACAGCGAAAACACAAAAUUUACCAGAAAAGAAUUGCUGGCUAACUGGCACAGAACAAGUUAUCGACACUAAUAAAUACACAGGAGAUCGAAGGCAACGAGACACGGGAGCUUGCAAUCACACAGGAAGAGGGAGGCGCCUGAAACGUAAGACAAGGUGAGUGACAGAAAGCACAGACAACCCGACAGUAUUAAAAACAAACUACAUAGAAGGAAUGGGCGUAACACCAAUACCUUUGGUUUUAUAUUGGAUUUGAUUGCAUUAAUGUUUAAACUCAUACGGUGUAAGGGAAUACUGCUGUUAAAAAUCUAAAAAUCAAAUCAAAUGUUUAAAUAAAUAAUAGAGCACAAUACAAGUGGAUUGUGCGCAUAUCAAUGUAAUUUAUUGAGAUUGAUUGCCGAAAGUCAUGCGAUUAAUUGCAAUUAAAAUUUGUAAUUGCUAUUAAUCGCCCAGCACUAGUUAUCACAGAGCAGUUUAAGUUUUUUGUACAAACAAUUCAUAGUAUAAAAAUCAUACAAUGUUUAGCUUGCAUAUUAAAAACACUAAACAGGAACAGGAAACAUUGUUUCACUGGCCAGCAGUUUACCUAUGUUUACAAUUACAUGAACAAGACAAAUUUCAUUUUCAGGUUUUAAAAAUAACAAAUAAUUUGUUUUUGCAAUAAAAGGUAGCAGAGUAAGCUCAUUCUAUAACAGAUUCUUUCCAUUUCUGCCACUUGUUUAUUUUAAAUAAUUUUAUAAGAAACAGCAGUUUUUAAAAAGUGUCAAUCGGGAUGGAUUGACUUUCUUCAGAUUUCCACUAUAUAGAUGCACAGAAUUUAUCCAAAAUGUUUGCUUUUUGGCCUGAAUGAAAAUGCUACUACCAAGAUCUUCCGUUGAUAGAUAAAUCAUCAUGAUCUUCAGUUAUCUGGAUAUAAUGACUGAGUGGUUAAAGGGAAAUAAAGGAACAGUUAUAACAGUCUGGCAAUAUUUCUAAAAUUUGAAUUUAAUCCAACCUCUAAAACCAGGAAAGACAGCUUUUAAACCAUAUUAUCGAAAAUCUAAGACGAUAUAUAUAUUGUCAUACCACAAUAUCUAUAUUCAUAUACUUCUUAGCCCUAUUGGAACGGAAGGAAUGUGGAUAAAUUACUAUAUGACACAAGUCAUUUUUUCAGUAUAUUCCUUCCGUGAAUUAUGAAACUAAUUAAUGAUGUGAUGAGAUAGCUGCAGCUCCACACAAAAUCAUACUCAAAAUCAAAAAGUCUUUUCAAGCAACAUAUGAUAGAAUACCUUGAUAAAAAUAAGGCAAAAAUACUUCCUUUUUUCCUCAGCUGUGUAAUGUAAAGUGGGCUGAAUGCUAAAAAAGAAUGCCCAGAAACCAGGCCACUGAAUCAAGAUCAGUGAGAGGCCUGACUUCUAAGAAAAACAGCACUGUAGGUCUACAGACAUAAAUGGAACACCAGCAAAAGAGACACGGUCAGUUCAGAACCAACUUUUACCAGCAGGGGCCGCCUUCAUAAUCGGAUUGCACUUUGGAGAAUAGGGUAAAAGGCAACUAUGACUCAAUGGAGAGCAGGCUCGUCCUUCAAUCAAAGGAUGGCGGUUCAAUUCCCGGCUCUUUGGGCAGGAUAUUUAACCUAACACAGAGCUCCCGUAGCUGUGUCCACAGUGUGUGAACAUUUGUUAGGUGGACAGGUGUCACUGUGUGUGUUAGCUCCUCCCAUUAGUGAGUGGGCAAAUUACUGUAUGUAGUGUUAGAGAGAUUUGAGUGGUUGGAGGACUAAAAGGGAGUUACACAAGUACAGUCCACUUAGCAUUUACAAAAACAAUGUAAAUAUAGAUAUGAUUAUAAAAUAUCCUUGGUUGUCUGCCACUAAUGAUAAACAAAUGAUUUCUGAAAAUUGGAUGAGGCCAUGUUGGAAAUUCUUGUUAUUGUUUUGCUCUAUUAAAGCUUGUACCAAGAAAACGUAUUUUUUUCACUGAACCAGAAUAUACUGGGAAGAGCAAUCAAGAAAACCAUUUAUACUUUUUUUCUAGAAAUAGCAUUUUGAAACAAAGGGCUUUCACAGAGUAGCCUUAUAUCCAUGUACCAUGUCAACCAAGUACCUUUUAAAACAUAAUAACCAAAUAGUUAUUUUGUGUUUUGGCUUUGUUCUGUGUCAAUGUCUCAUGUCCUUGUAAACCAAACAUGGAAAUGUAGUAGUUUUUCAGAGUUUUUUUUUUUAUAUUUACACCACUAACCCAAUAUUUUAUGCUUUUUCAAACGGUGACUGAAGUCUAGGGGAAAAUACAAGAUUUUAGUUUUGUUGUAUGACGUUAUUUUGUGGGAAAAAAAUGUUGUUAAAACUAAACCCAUAAAAAAUCAAUUUUCCUACUGCUGUAACCACGGUACUGUACUGUACAUACCUUUUGAUCCAUCCUUUGCCAUGCUGCAAAUGUUUUGAGUCUGGCAUCUGAGUCUUGGCUGUUUAAGAAAAAAACGAGAGCAUUCGGAGAUAAGAGAACACUCCUCUUUCUCUCUGUCAACAUGUAAGUCUUAAGUGAAGCCGAGUGCUAGCUGGGAUUCCUGUCUGGUAUCCUGUCUGACAUGAAAGGCUGCUCGCUGGGACUGAGGAAGGAGCUCAGAGAGAAGUAUUCCCGCCGGACCCUCCGGCAGAUGGAACAAGAACACCUUGAAGGAUGGGAGUGUCGCCGAGCCCGAGCGCUCACUUUCUCCCCCGCAGAUGAAACGUAAUGCGGGGCUGUCUCAAAUCUCCGGCAAUCUGCGGAUGUGAGCGACACGGAGAGAGCACCUGGCUCUUCAAGGGAAGCAGGCGUUUGAGAUGUGACAGAACGCCUUGUCAGAUAGAAUCAUUGUAAUGGAGAGAUAAUCCCACAGUCAUCACUCAGAAAGGCAUGUCUGCAGGGCAUGUUGGAGGAAUAUCCUGUAAUGCUGUGCAGCAUUUAGAUGGUAAAUGUCACCGAAGCCAUUGUAUUUAUCACAGGCUGAAAUCAAAACUGGAUUUGGGAUAAGGAAAACCAGACCUUUGAAAUUUGAUUGAAGCAAUACGAGAUUCUUAGGUUCUCAAUGUAAUUCAAAAGGCAGAGUUGUGCUCAUAAUCUGGGCUGGGGAAUAGUCCGUGACUUGAACAAGUGUCGGCCUGUCAGUUGACAGAGACAAGCCCGACAGGAGCGUUUGCAGCCACUGCUGUAUGAGCAAAGAAGUGCCUUUCGUCUCUUGUCAAUCAAAGGCCCAUGGAGGAGUUUUGCUGCUCAGCCACCUUCCUUGACCUGUCACUCAGUCUCCUGACAGCUGGUAGACCGCCCUCCCCAUCCUUCCCCCUUUUCACUCUUCUACAGCCCAGUCCCUCCCAGUGUUUCUUCUCGGUCCCAGCAUGCUCAUCGGGGUUCUCAUUUUCAUGUGUCAGGCGGCCCCCGUCAGUGUGACAGCUCCCUGUCCGCCUGUCUCAUUAGAAACAGCCAGCUUGGUCGAGGAAGCAGCAGGAGAGGCUAUUGGCGUUCAGCUUUCCCCAACCCGGGAACUGUGAGAUCAGCUCUGCUAACACCAGUCAACCAGAUCAUCAUCUGGCUUGAUCUAACAUCCACACAUACACUGAUCCGCCCACCCGCCCUCCAGCUGAUACACGUAUACGCACACACAGACGUUUAGGUCUUUUCCUCUCCUCAGGUUGAGUCACGCAGUUUGAGUUACUUAAUGGGUAUGAGUGUUUAUAAAAAUGACUGGAAUAACAAAAGAAAGUAAAUGAACAGCAUGGAUAAAAGCAAGGCUGUUCUUUACUUUGCAAAUACUGCUUUGUCUCUAUUGGCACUCCUCUCAUUCAUGUGCGUUCAAACACUGCAAUAUUUACGUAGUUCGGUCUUAUUUGUCAUCAGGAUAUAUUUGAGAAUGGCUUCUGACUUGAUAGGUUACAUGGAAAAGUGUCUGUAUGUCAUUUUGAAUGUGUGUCAUUAAGUGAUUGUAGUUUGUCCCUCUACGCUGUGUUUCAGUCACAGAUCAUUUUCAGCAAACAGGUCUGUGUGAUUCUAUCGCACUUCUCUCUUCUCUCCGGGGACGACUCCUGAUGGAGGGAAACAAAGGUGUUUACUUUUUAAACUUGCAUAUCAAAUGGCCUUGAAGGACAGAAAAAGCCUUAAAAAACUGAACAUCACACAGCUAUGAUUUCCGCUCCUUUCUUGUUUGUCCUUGAGUGUUAAUUGUGCGAUGUAGAGAGACAUCCAUUAGGCAGGCUUGCUUUUGAUGUUUUUUGAUGCGAGACCUCGAUGUGAGACGGUGAAUAGUUAAAUUCUAAUUGCGGGAGGAAUUUGUAUCGUUAUAAUUUGGAGAGGCUUUGUAUUCCUCCCUUUUAAUGAAUGUAACAUGGCUUUGGAGGAUAGAAAGGAGCAUAGAUUUUGUGAGUUUAUAAUGAACUGGGAAAGCUUUUGAAUAUGUAUGAGGAUGUGAGACCCUAGGCAAGAUGUACACAAGCUCCCCUGAUGGGUGUGAAGUUGAUCAUAUAAUUUCCUUCCAAGGAGCAAGCCUCAUUUGAUACAGAGUUCAAUCCAGUACUUAUUGUAACGGGGUAAAGCUUAAGAAGUGGAGCACUGGGAAGGGUUAAGGCAUGAUCGGAGGGAUUUAGAGCAUUCGGUUUAUGUUAUUCCCACUUCAGAAUCGAGAUUUGCCACUCAGUCAUUUCAUCUGAAAAAUAAUAAAAUGGUAGCUUCUGAACUGGAUCUCAUGGGUAAUGGGCAAUGUAAAGUAAUGUAAUAAUGUAAUGUAAUACCUGGCAUGUUUGACUGACAGUUAAGCAACAAACCUAGUUAUUUUUUAACUCUACGAAUCGAAUCACUUUCAGGAACACGCCAAUGACCGCCCGCCGCUAGAGGGGCAUCUGGAGCGUCAAAGUUUGAAGCACAGGGCACAGCAUGCUGACCAAGCCUUGUUAUUUGAUGAGUUGGAAGUUCAAAAGCAUAAUUUGAGCAGUAAUAUUUAGGAAACAGCCAAAACAAAAUUGUCUCUUGUACGAGUGAAAUCAGCCUUGUCAUUAGAGCUUGUGGUGUAGAGGGGAGUUAUUGCCAAUCUAUGGUUUUGAGUGUGGUUUGGUUCUAUUUUUUUCACAAGGAUUACAUUUUUUGAGAUUGAAGCCAAUUUUUGUCCUUCUUCUCUCUUGUUUGGUGUCAUAAUUAGGUAAAGUGUAGGCUUGAGUUAUGGUUAACGUUAGGGGAUAGUUAUGAGCUGGUCUGAGGGGUUCAUUUCCAUUUGGAAUUAACUUUAGGUUAAAUUGAGUUUAAAUCAAUCAGACAUACAUACAUAUAUAGAUAUACAUUCAACGUAUAAAUACAAUACAAUGAAUGUGCCACAUUUGUGUCUGUCUGUGUGUUGGUGAGUCCCUCUUUAUCUGCCUUAAGCCAUGACACUGACCGUAGGUGGAGUCGGCCACUCAGCGCACUUAGUGAUGACCCUUCAACCUGCACCAUUUCAAUUUCCACCUCUGACGGCUGCCCGGAGAAUGAUUUGAAUGUUAAGUGCCCUCCAAUCCCGGCAGCGUAUGAAAAUGUAAUCAGAGCACUAUCAUCUCCCCGGCAGUGAGACGGCUUGCUUGACUUUAUGCAGCAGGCAUUGUUGCUGGCUCAUUUCCCCUGCCAGCAGGUGUCCUCUCUGGAUAUAAUAGGCUUUACAUGUGUAAUUAACACAUUGCACUGCUGCCUGCGCUGGCCGUAGCCUUAGCGCUGCUCCUGUCACCUUGACUUACUUUUCUCUUUCUUUUUCUAUUUCUCCACCCUUUUUCCCUUUCUCUUUAUUAGAAAACAUAAUGGCUUCUGGGCCCACUCACGCUGUGGCAAAAGUAGGUGCAGAAGACAAAGACAACACCUCGGCAAUGAAAGCCAAGCAUGGUGAUGUGGGGAUGGAGCGUUGGUGCAUAGGAGGGUUCCACAAUGUGGAAAGACACGGGUGGAGUUAACAGCUUGCUGUGUGGGCCGGCUUAUGCCUUAACCCCCCCUCCACUCCCUCAACCCCCCCUGUCUCUCAUGAAACCUGUAAUUACCAAGGCUCUGUUAAUCAGGAAUGAAACAGGAGAAGCAGUGGGCUAAUUGGGGCCGACGUGCUCUGUAAUUAGAGUAAUAGUCACACAUUGGAAUUUUAUGAAUGAAUGACUUUGCCAGUUUUUUUUCCAGGGCUUCAUUACAUUGGACAGAGCUGCCAGCGAUAUUUGCAUGUAUGUGUAUAAAGGAGACAAUAUGUUACUGGUCGUGUUUUUUGUCCAAACAGCAGAUUUUCUCUCCAGGCCUCCUGACUAGGCCAGUGUUAAUUAUAUCUGUGGACGAGGCUGGUUGGGGGGUAGGGAGCGAGGUCCAAUUAUUUUUCUCUGCUUUUCUUUUUGCCUCAAACCUUUUUUAUUGCCCAUGUGCUGCUGCUAGCUGUCAAGGCAAGGAGGUGUAUUACUGUUUGUAAAGGUUGCUACACAGUGUGGAUGGAAUCCAUUAUUUUGGUUAAUGAAUCAAUUAACAAUAACACAGGUCUACCUCUGAUUUGACAAUUCUGCAUCGACAGACUGAUUUUUCACAAAGUGAUGAAAGGGUCUUGCAUUCUUCCACAUUUCACUUUCCAGGUGGAGAUAUAGGUACAGACUCACGUAAUGAAGAACAUUUGGCAAUGUUUGCAGUCCAAGAGAGAACUGAUAAUUGUUUUGAUUUUUGAAGACAAAAAAAAGUAUUUUUUCAAUGUGUCAACUGACCACAACUAAAGAAGAAAUUCAUUUCAGAAGCCUGCUCUCAAUCUUUGCAGGGUUUUGCAUUUCUUUGUAGUCUUGACAAAAUAUGAAAAUCUACGUUUUGGAAAGUCUCUUUUUAUGUCAUUGCCAUAAAAUGUAAAACUUAAAUAAAAGAUGAGAUAAAAGUUGAUCGAAGUGUAUGUGUGUACAAUUUUUAGAUCCCCCGAAAAACAGCCAUUUUCCAAACUGUCAUGGGAAAAGUGUACCUGUAAUAUUUCUGUUUAAAAUAUGUUUUAAAGAUUCAACCUUAACAGAAUGUGAAACUGAAGCUGUUCCUGAACCUGCUGGUCCGGGAACGCAGGGCCCUGUAGCGCCUUCCUGAGGGGAGGAGGGCAAACAAUCUAUGACUGUCGUGAGAAUUGUCCUUCACGAUUAUAAGGCUUCCUCUAGUGACACAUUUCCAUUCAUGGUUGUUCUAUCUCAUGUUUUUCAAAUUUGUAUUGUUAGCGUGAGGAAUUGACAGGAAACGACGUAAUUCAUUGUUAUUAGCAAUAGGAGUUGCAGGCCAUGUCUAUUUCUAUAUUCUUCUCCAUUUAUACUAAGCAUCAAAACUUUUCAGAAGGCCAAAAAUAAGUUUAACAAGAAAUGUCUGAAAACUCUGGGGUGACCUCCUAAUAUUUAUGAUACUAGUGUUACUUGAAGAGGAAGUGGACACAUGUGAUUGCUAGUUGAUUGGGUCUUAGCAGCCAUAACCUGUCCUUCCCUGAUUGCUCAAGUGUCCUUGGUGAGCCUUUCACAGCAGAUCACCAUCAACAAAAACCUUGAUUAUAGAUCGACUACCAAGUUAAAUGACAUGAAUAACUGAUCGCAUGUAUUGGUCACCUUGUUAUGUUAACGAGCAGCUGUUAGCAUACGGCUAAGUCAACGGUUUGAGGUAGGGCAAUGGACACAAAGCGGAGGACUUCCUUGUCCUAAUCCUUACCGUGUUAUGCACAACCUUUGCAAUGUUCAAAUAUAAACUUUAAAGGAAAGAAACUCCAAAUUGCACUCCAGUAGGACCAAAACUUCAGCAAAGUGCACAGCUAUGAGUGAAAGAACAGGUUUCCUUGUUUCCUCACAAAGUUGUAAUUGUUUAUUCAUCAUUAUUGAACCAGCACAAGGAAUUCUGUCAAUUAUCAUUAUGUGACUCUAUCAUAUCUACCGUUCAUCAUUGACUCAGUCAUGUACCAAAGAUCUGGUGAUUUUUCAGUUCUACAAUUCUGGGAAGAUCUGUAUGCUUUGCUUCUCUUUUCUCUUAUUCCCAGGACAGUGUUGUUAACAACAGAGAGGAAAGAGCAUACGAACCUCUCCCCAGUUUGAAUACUUCCUUGUCGAGAGGCUAAAGGCUAAAGGCUAAAGCAGUGAUUUAUGGAGGCCAUCUGAGGAUGCAGGUUCACCAGUUGCUGAUAACCUCUCCGCUGUCUCGCCUCUCAUUACCUCAUUUGUCAUGGUAUGCUCAUUGCAACACCGUCCCUCAUAUACCCACUUCAAAAGGGUGCUGUGUAGAUUGAGUUCCUCCUUGUCUUGUCCUGAGGAGCUAUAAUGGCAUCAGCACCGACUGACUGUUGAUACAGGAUCAUGUAUUGUAGCUCUAAACACACAAAAGCAGGGGUCACUAAUAGGUAAACCGCAGUACAGAUCCAUACUCACACCCCAUAGUAUCCCGACCUUGACCAUCAAGGUCAUCAAUAAAAUGUUUUCUUCCACAGAGUAUUUGCUUUCUAGCCUCACAGGUUUCCAUGGAUCAUGAUUCUGUCUGGACCCUGUUCCUUCCUCCUGCUGUGGUCCUGCUGACCUGCUGCUAUCAUUAUUGAUACUGCCAUCCGUAACCAACGUUACUAACUUUGCAUCCUUCGUCAAGUCUUUUAGCUUUCCCUCCCCCCAGGUUUCUGUGGAUGGUGGUUAUAUCUGAUGGUGGUUGUCCUGCAGUGAUCCUGCCUUACACCUGCACGCUACUCUCAAUAUUUGAAUAAUUUCUCUCAUAUGUAUUGAACACACUGUACAUCUUUUACGUUGUUCAACAUGACAUCCAUUGCAGUGAGUCCAUCCUCUGUCCUUCUCCUCAGGUUUCUUCCUUUUUUCUCCAGGUUGAAGGUUUUUUUUAUUUUUGGGGGAGUUUUUCCUGAGCCAAUGUGAGGACGUUGCUUGUGUAAAAAGCCUUUUCAAAUUUGAUUUUAAAUUGUGAUUUUGGGCUACACAAAAUAAAAUCAAUUACCUAAACUGAAAAUAACUGAUAGGUAAUUGAGAAUUAUCCAAUUUGAUUGAAUGUACUAAAGCAUACGUAUCCUGCACAUCCGAAAUGUUUCACUCUCCCUCUUCUCUAAGGCAACCUUUGGAUCCUAAAACACAACAAUUACUCUGUUGUAAUAGGUUUCAAAAUUUAGACUAUGUAUUGUACUGUAAUAUGUAUCAUCUCACCUGUUGUUUUGCCAGAAAAUGUGUUCUACUGAAACAAGGUAAUGAGACUAAAACAGGACACCUGCGUUGGCUUUGAGCUGAAAUUGCAGCUGAGCUUGGACUGAUAAUUCUUUCAUUUUCUAUAUUCCAAAAAAAUUACAGCAGAUAUGUUCGAAAUUUGUCGAACCGAUUUGAAUGUGCUUUUAUCAGUUUUGAAAGCAGUGUGUUAGCACAUGAAAAAUAUCCUGCAAAAAUACCAUUUUUUGGCGUUUGUGGAGUAUGAAUGACAAAAGUGUUUGUGGAUUUUGAAAAAAGUCCAGUGUACCCUUUAUAUAGCAACGGGGAAAGUGAGGCCAUUCAGUUUGAGAUGAUGGAUGGGGAUGUAGAGAUUCUGACUUUCAUGGAGAAGCCUGGAGUUUGUGUCCCAUUAACAACGUGUAACUAGAGUUCACGUUUUUUUCCUCAUUGACCUUUAGCAAUAACAUUGGCAAUGAAGAUAAUCUAUUGUUUGGCAGUAUAUAUAAGGCUCAGUCGGUACUUACUGUAGUUUGGUUUGACUCUAGAGCAUUCUCCUGAGCUGGGUUUUAAUGUGGAGCCUCGUAUCUUUAUAACUUCAAAGCUGCUGUAAUAACACGUUGUGCACAUCUCUGUUUCCUGUAUGUCCAUGGCCAACAAAACAACAGGAAUCUUUCUCUUCACAUCCGCCUACAGAGCCCUCAUUGGCCGGCACAUAAAAUAAUGGACAGGCCACUUCAAUAUGCCACGUAACCCCCUCCUAAUCUCCCCAAAUCACAUGUAUUUCGCCCUGUUUUCUGUUUCCUCUCCAUGCUCUCAGCAGUCAACACCCUCCAUCAGGCUCAGACUGUUAUUACUUUCAUCUUUGGCUUGUCAUUUACUGGAGUGGCUUGUGCUAUUAGCACAUAGCAAGCUAGUGUUUUAGCAAUACUUACUACGAGCCCGACUCUUUAUGUAUCUGAGUGCAUUUGUCUAUCUGUGUUGUACAACAGAACUUCAACAGUGUAUGCACUCUGCUGUUAGUUUAGUGGUACACUUAUCAGUGCCACCUGCCAUUGGAGUAGCCUCUUAAUUAUCAGAUCAAAGGCAGUGAAAAGGUGCUAAGUGGUUAGGAGCUGCAGCAGCACGCUACUGGCCUUUGAUCCGCUCGGUCCCUGCCUCCCCGACAGCAGCCUGUCUUGAAUUAAAUAUGGACAGACAUCUCUCUUUGAGUUCAGUCCUUUUCCCUCAUAAGCUGUUGGAUUUUUUAAAAUUGCAUUCUGUUUGAUGUGAGUGACUGGUUAGCCUGACAAUGGCCGACAGUGUGCUUAAGAAAGGGUGGCUGGCUAAUCGAGGGCCGGAGCCUCCUGCUGCGUUACUUGGAAAGGUUUCGACUCUGUCUGGAGCAUUCAAGCAGGCAGCUAAGCGUCUGCUAUAAUAAGAAUGUUUUAUGUUUCCCCCCCAGUAUAUUUGAUGUAUUAUUUGUAUGCUGAUUUAUCUGAUGCUGGGGUAAACACCAGACUUCAUGCUUCCGGGCCAGCAGGCGCUGAACGCCAUCUCCUGUACAUGAGCGCUGGACCUGGAUCUGGUCUGGUCUGGUCUGCCCCUGGACUGUCACGCCACUUCUGUCUUGCAUUAGACCAGAGACUGUUUACGAGUACGGCGGGCAGACUUAGCUGAAACAGUCAAGGUCUUGUGUCACCAGAUGUUUUAUAGGGAAGGCGGCAUGGAGGAGGCAGGCAGUAAGCAAGACGGCAUAGGGGGGCCAGUGCUGACUGGUCGGCAGUCAGGUGAUGUGGGUGCCCUUUUAUGAGCCAUUUCACUAAUGAAAGUGGGGUUCUGGGACCACUGUGGAACAUCAGAGGCCACUCAAUCCUACCAGGCCCCCACUUCCAUCUACACAGGAAUGUCAUAAAGCUUUAAAAGACACCCCCCUACCUUUCAUUAUCCACUUCCGCCUGCACUUUCACUCUGCUGUCCCAUCCACUGAUUAAUUGGUUUCCAUUUGUUGUCAUGAUUUCAGGUGGCUGCUGAGGUGUUGCCUUCACUUCACUGGGGUGUCACAGGGAUAGAAGAAAUCUGGAAGUGAUUAUUAAGCAGAUGAAGUGUAGAUGAAGAUUUUCCCUGGAGGAACAGCAGUCGGUUUUUUGAUGAGAGAAGUAAAUGCGAUAGCUGUUAAGACCUCGGCAUAUGAAAUCAAAAGAGGCACCGUUCACCUAUGGAACACAUGAAUGUGUGUUUCUGUGGAUAACUGUGAUGUUGACUUGCCGGUGUAAACUUGACCCAAAAGGGACCUUGACACACUCUAUCUGUGCCUUUCUGCCUUUUUCCAUCAAACCAUUGGUCCAUGGCUGUGUCUCAACUUUCAUUCACUUGACUAUGGGCCGAGAUUUAGCAACUCAUUCAAAACCAAAGAUGGGAGCUUUAAUCUGGUUUCCUUCUGUUUUUGUGUGCCAGCUCACACUUCUAUAUUUUAAGUCAAACACAUCUUUAUUGGUUUUUAAAUCAAUUCUUUCCCCAACUGGGAACCAGUGUAAGGACAUCAGAAAUUGCUUGAUGUGAUCCGCUUUCUUGGUCUUAGUGAGAACUUGAGUUUUCCGGAUACUUGUAAAGACACUGUUACAGUAUUAGAGAUACUGAAAGCAUAUACGUUAAAAAAAGCAAAACAGUCAACAGAUAAAAAAGAAAACUUAAAAAAAAACUAAAAAGAGAAUGAAAUUAGCAGUGUAGUUUAAGAGUACCAAAAUUCCAAAGAUUAGAAAUGGUCAUUGAAAGGCAGCAGCAAACAGAAACAGCUUUUAUCUGGAUAUAAAGGAGCAGACCUGCAGCUUUCUGGAACUUUAUUCUAGUUAUGUGGAGCACAAAACCUGAAUGCCUCUUCUCCAUGUCUAGUUUUGACUCUAGGUUCAUAGCUUUGGCCCUAAACCAUUCAGUGCAUUAUAAUCAAGAGCAGGGUUUUGAAAUCAAUUCUCUGUUAGAUAGGAAGCCAGUGUAAAGACCUGAGAACCUACACAGGUUCAUGAUAAACUUUGGAAUACAGUUUUAGAAUUUGCAAAUACAAUACUACAUGUUGACUCAUUUGUUUUCACGCAAGAAAUGUACAUAUCCGUCCGUAUCAUAUGCAGGAAGCCAAAUACAUUAAUGCUGAAUUCAAUUGUGAUAAACAAAAUAAGAAAUUACAAACAAUACAAUCCGAAUAGGACAAAGACAACCAGCAAAGACCUAGAAGAAAAUAUUACGAGCUUCCUUCGGGUUGUUCAUGUGGUUUAAGAAACCUGCUGUAGACCAGUUUAUGCACAGACCCGCAUAGAACUGCUAUAGAUCAACUUUGUGGUUCAUGCACAAUGUUGUACAACACAUAAUUGCAUUGCUUUCCCUGUGUUAAUGCAUAGCUAGAAUUUUUUUAGCUUCCGUCUGAAAAAGCUGUGGCCACUUCUGCCUUGGCAAGUGUGCUCUGGGGUGAGGGGUUUACAGAGGGAGGGGCAGAAGAGAGUGGGUCGGCAGUGCUAGGUCGGUCAUGCGAGAGCAGCUGAUGUGCUUGUGGUCAUUCAAAGACUCAACGUUGCCGCACCAAUUAGUUUUGACCCAGAAGGAAUAGUCUGUAGACUGGGGACAGGCAUCGUUCCAUCCGCGGUAGAUUUAAAUGGAGGCACACACACACUGACUCACUCACUAUUUCUUCUGCAGGAGCGUACCUCACUGUAUCUCUCCCUCUCUUGUCCCAUAUUCUUUUUCUCCUCUUCUAUUUUCAUCUUAAUACAGACAUUAUCAGCUCAGGAGCUUCCUUACAGUCUUAAUUAUAAAUCUGGGGCCUAUGGUGUAGGAUGGCUUUCACAGGCACUACAAUCACAACUGAUACAGAUACAUUAACCUGCGAACGACCAACAUGUCAGGAUCCCUGCAAAAUUGGCAUUUUGAGGAAAUUCAUGGUUUAAGUCCAUGUUUAUAUUUAAGACAAAAAAUGAACUUUGCUUGUCUGAAAAGACAAAAACGCAACAAAAAACAAAACAGCUAUACAGGUAUCUCAGAGCAAUGGGUCAUUCGAGCCGAAUUUGAUUUAGUUUUAAGAUGUUGUGUAAUCCCUUGGUCACAAGAAGGAUCUAAAGUAACAAACUCAUGAGGGUUCUCUAAAUUAAAAAUUACAAUUCUUCGUUAUUCCUUUUUUAGACUUUAAACAGAUAUAGACUUUUUUGUUUCCGUUGCUGUUCACCUUUGCAUAUUGUAAGCACAUUUUCUCCUGACAAGAGAAGACCCUUUAAAAUGUCACUUUAAUGCAGCGCAGGGCGACCAUGGCGUGUAGAGGGUAUGCUGGUAGGGUUGAUGGUUAGAACCCUGGCUGGUUUGUGUCCCAUGGUGAACUGUCCCUGAGCAAGAGGCCGAGUGCCUAACUGCUCACCGGGCGCCCUUAUGGCAGCACACUGCUCUCACAGUGUGGCACGGGUUGAAUGCAUAAUUUCCCCACAGGGAUUAAAAAAUGAUACUUUCUUCUUCUUUAAGUGUGGCAGUCCUAGACUAUGAGACAAUCCACAGUAACCUAAAUAAAGGUAAUUAUAUUAUUGUAGACAAUGAGUUAAUUGUGACAUUUUCUAACAUAAACUUGAAGAGUAACACAGGUCAAAAUCCACAUCAAUGAUGCAUUUUAAAAACUAAACUGUAAAGGAUGCUUAAUGGGUUCUUUCACAUUUUACCAUUAAAUAGGAAUGCUUGCUGAAAUUAAUUUGAUGGUGCACACCACCCUCAAGAAAAUUCACCAGACGCCACUGGCGUAAACACACUCAGCACCAAUAGCUGUUAUGCUUUAAGCUUCGCAGUCUUGACAAAACUAGGUUCUCGUUGAACUACAUCCUGAACAAAUGCGAAUCUUCCUUCCUUAGUACACAAAUUAGGAACUGCAGUGUCUUCAUCUCCAAUAAUCUGGAAAAUGAAAUCCACCAGUGCUCAAUUUUAUGCAGAUUAGAUAAGCAUCAAAUUCAAUACAAUACAGAGGGUUAUGAAAAUCCUAAACCUAUCACUAUUAAUAAUAUAAACAUGCUUGUAACCCGAAAAGCGUGUUAUGACACCAAAAAUCAAAUAUGAUAUGUGUGUUUAUGUGCCAGUUUUUAAACUACGGAGGUCUCUUUCUUUGCCUCUCUCUAGGUCCCUCCUGGCCCAAGCAGACUCCUCUCUGAUUUGUUAAGGUAAUGAUCUAAUCUGCGGCCAUUAGGGAGAUCAGCCUUUAGUGUUUAAUGUGUGGCCAGGUGGUCCAGCUGCCAAGCUCCACAAAUUAAAGAGCCUGGGCUCGGCAGUAAUGAGUAAUGAGCUGUAUUUAAAAGCUGCCUACGCUCGGCCAGGCCUCAAUAUGGCCAAGUUUGCGCACUGCACUGCACAAAAAAACCCUCUCAAACACCUCCUUCAGGGGCUUGUGGGUACAUGCGACAUCUUCUGUUUUUGACUACUAAUAAUAAUGACAGGAGCAGUGGAUUCAGACAGGACCAGUGCAGGAACAACCUUAGGACCAGAUGUUGCCACCGGGAGGAGGGAAAGCACAGACUAUGGAAGAAGCAACGCUGGUUGCAUAAGAUAUGGAUUCAAACGGGAGUGAUAAGAGGAGAGAGGAGCUCAGUGUCCUAGGAAGUCGUCAAACAGUCCUGUGGCAGCCCAGGGCUGGUCCAGGCUGAACUGAGCCAGCCCUAAAUAUAAAGGUUAUCAAAGAGGAAAGCUGAUUCCACACUGAUGGGAGCUUUGGCUCGCAUCAAUACUUUUGUAGACUGUAGUAAUCUCUCGUAACGCCACAUUUAUGGAGCGCCGCUCUCUUGUACUGUACAGUCAUAUGGUUCCUUGUUGGUGAGUAGAAUAAUUUAAAAUCCUAUUUUUUAUUCAACAGGGAGCCAGUGCAGAGAAGCUAGUAAAGGAGUAACAUGAUCCAUUUUCUUGCAUAUUAAUACACCUUCUCCAGCAUUCUGAAUCAACUGGAGAGUGUCACAUUGCGGUGAGAUCAAGUUGGGGUUUUCUCGUCUCCGUGCCUUGUCUUAUUUUGAAAGAUUAACCCCUCUCUCGUUUCAGGUCACUUGCCCCUCAUGUGUCACAUGGAUGUGAGAAUCGUCUCCCCUGAUUCCUGUUGUGUCCACCUGUUUCCCAUUACCCUCAUGUGUCUUAUAGUCUGCAUCUCCCUUUUCCCUGCCUGUCGCUUAGACUCGGUGUUCCUCUUCCUGCCUGGUUUGGUCUUGCGUUUCCCCGUUCCUGUUAUAGAAAAAUUCCAGUUUCUGUUUAUGGAUUCAGUUCCUCGAGCCUGUUUAUACUUUUUUUCUCCUAAUGGAGCGAUUUUAAGUUUUGUGAUCUUUGAGCUGAAUAAAGACGGCCUUUUGCUGUUCAUCAUUCUGCUCUUGAGUCCUCUCUUAAAACGUGGGCCUGACAGAGAGGCUUAUAAGAGCAGCCUGAUAAUAAAGAAUCUAGUUUAGAAGUAACAAACACGUGAACUAAUUUUUCGGCAUCCCUUUGAGAUAGGAAGUUCCUGAUUUUUAUAUUUUAAUUAAGGGAAAAAAGUCCUUGAAGUUUGCCUUAUCAUAGAGUUAAAGGACACAUUCUGGUCGAAGAGAACUCCAAGAUUCUUUACGGUUUUACUGGAUACAAGAGCAAUUCCAUCCAGAGAAACAAUAUCAAGAGACAGCUGACUUUGAAGGCACUCUGGGCCUAACCUCUGUCUUGUCUGAGUUUAGGAUCAGUUGAGGAGAGUUGCAAGUCAUUGCAGAGUUUUGAUGUCUCUAAGACAUUCUUAAAGUCUAACAAGCUUGAUCUGGCUUGAUCGACAGAUACAAUUGAGUAUCGUCUGCAUAACGAUGGAAGUUUAUGCCAUUCUUUCUGAUAACAUUGACCAAAGGAAGCAUAUACCGGGUAAAUAAAAUCGGUCCUGUCACAGAACCUUGUGGGACUCCAUGACCAACAUUGGUGGUCAUUGAGGAUUCACUGUUUACAAACACAAACUGGGAUCGAUCCGAUAAAUACAACUUAAACCAGCAGAGUGCAGUUAUUUUAAUACAAAUCAAAUGUUCAAGCCACUGCAACAAGAUGCAAUGAUCAAUGGCGUCAAAAGCGACACCGAGGUCCAAUAAGACAAGAACAGAGACGAGUCCUUGGUCCGAUGCUAUUAGAAGAUCAUUCGUAAUUUUCACCAGUGCUCUUUCUGUGCUAUGAUGCAUGCAAAAUCUUGACUGGAAAUCCUCAAACAAACCAUUUGUUUGCCACAUAAAUGAUUUGCAACGGAUUUCGCAAGGAUCUUAUAAAGGUAGGGAAGAUUAAAGAUAGGUCCAUAGUUACCCAACACCUCUGGAUCAAGGUAGGAGUAGGUUUCUUAAGAAGAGGUUUAAUUACAGCUACCGUGCUAACUAAAGGAAAAAUGUCCUUAAGCAGCUUAGUUGGAAUCGGAUCUAAGAGACAGGUAGAAGAUUUAGAAUUGAGAAGUCAGUUGAUCAACGUUGAAGAGAAGCAAUCCAAGCAGGUAUCAGGGCCCACAGCUGCAUCCAAGGUUCCUACACCCGAGGACAGGUCGGCACUAGUUAAAGGCGGAAGAGCCUCAAUUUCCUCAUUAAUAGCGGCGACUCUCUGUCAAACCAAGUCUGGCUACAGUGCUGAAGAGAAACCGUGGUUGUUUUUUGUUUUUCUCUACUCUUUAAAGAGUAAUAAGAUGAUCCUGCAGUACGGAGAUCCUUCUUAUACGCUUUGACGCUGUCUCGCUAAACAAGCCUGGAUUCUUCUAAUUUGGUGGAACGCUAUAACCCUUCAAGCUUCACUUUAAGUUGCUGGUUUUUAAAAAAGCUUUAGAUAGAUUAUUUGCCGCUUUUACUGAAAAAUAUCACGACACAAUCAACCUAUCUAACUUAUCUAGAGCUGUGAAAGUGAGAUGGCAUUAGACACACUGGCAACAUGUGUAUAGUAUCUGUUAAUUAUUUCUAUCUGAUUGUUGUUUCAAUCUGACUGGCGUUUUUGGAAAAUAAACCCAUUUUUGUGAAUUGAAAGCCUGUGCCUCGACUACUUAGUCUAGUACACGUCUGAACAAUAAUCUUGUAAUUUGUAUUGAUUAAUAAUACACAGGCAUUUAUUCAGACAUGUGAAAGCAAGCAUGUAAAUAUAAAAUCAUAUAGAUUUGAAAACAUUUUAAGUGAAUAUUAAUACAACUUAUGAAAAGACCAAAUCUAAAGGGUGUGUACAAAGAUUAUACAGAGAGAAAGAAAGGGAAAAAAGUUUUAGUUAAAGGUUUGGUACCCAACAGUGAUGAGCAUUUACAUUGUGCUCAGUGAACACACAUUACUUAAGUGUGUUCACUCAAUCCCAAUGGAGACAUAAUGAUGCUGUUACAAGUGGUGGCCUGGGAAGGCUGAGCACGACAUUACCAUCAGCCGACAUCACCCUACUGUCAGUCAGAGAGGCCGAGAUAAAACAAACCAAAGAACUGUGUCGAGGAAUUCCUCCACGUGUCAAAGACAGAAGGAGGAUGAGUGGCAAACGGACCACUUUAGGACUGAUACCGCCCGGAACAUGUUGGUAGCUGCUACGCUUCUUCCAUCUCAACAUCUACCCUGCUGAGGACCACCACAGUGUCCCUAAAACAUCGUCCCUUGGAAAACAUCCUGGCUAUAUUUCGGGAGAUUGUUAGCACUUCAUACACAGCCUGUUGAGAGUUGUGAGUUGAGAACACAGCAAAGUACAAAAGGACAGCAGGAAAAGUCGUUGGUGGAAUUAUGUCGCCAAGAGGAUCACAUGUGUGUAAUUUGUGUUUAAAAUACAAUUAAACAACGUUGGCUAAAAUGCAUGCUUUCUAAAGUGAUUACUCAUUCAUUUAUAAGGUUUAGUAUUCAUGCUACAUUCACACCAAAAGUGAAGCAACUUUUCGCAGCGCCGAACUCGCGCGAGUAGUUGUUGGCCACUUUGAUGACCUGUUGCAUCGGAUCAGUGCCAGCGUCUCUCGGUUAGACACCAACUAACUUACAGCUGUCCAAUUUCAGCUGCGGAACGCCUGUCUGUCUCUGGUGAGUGGCUGUUUCACAAAGUAUAUUCACGCUUGUGCAGCAGGAUGGUGGUGAUGACAGGCGGAGCAUCUCAACGCCGAUUGGCUUUCGGAAGACAUCGUCGGGCAAAUUUUAUGCCAAAGUAAAAAUAGUAUAAAAAUAAUAUUUCGCUUUUUUGCAUCUGAUAGCCAGUUUUAAAACUAAUGAAAUAUCUGAGUGCACUUUCCUAUCGCAGGCUUUUUGCCUAGGUCAGCCUGUCCACCCAGUCACGCUCCUCAUUGGGGCUGAUUGACCUCUAGUUCAAUUUCAUGCAUGGAUGGCAGAGAGCUGUCAUUAAGCAAUGUGAUUGGAAUAUUCAGAUGACUGUUUUAAUUGAAGAGAGACAGUGUUCACUCAUGGCGGGGCCGGCGGUGAUGUUGAAUGCCCGAGGCGGAGUCCCCGAGCGGCCCAGACCCAUCUGAUCACGGCUCAGUGGAGACCAGGAGCCCACCAACACUACAGCAAAGCCCUGGCUGCUUUAAAGCCUCCAGGCUUCCAUCACAUCCACAUCCCACUGCACACACACCUGCACAGCGCAGGAAGGGAAGGAGGAAGGAAGCACAUGAGGAGAGAGGAAAAAGGAGAAGUAAAGAGAAGCCAUGAAUGAAGUGAGUGACAGCUUAAUGUGAAGCACAUACAUGUUAACAUGCGCAACAAGGGGUCAGUGAGGCAUGGAAACACAACUGAAUGAUCUCCAUUCAGAGUACUGAUAUUUCACCAAAACCUGAGUCAGCACCUGUAAGUAGUGUCCAGCACACACACAGCUUUUCUCUCCUCAUGUACAGUACGAAAGCUUCAAUGGCAUUUUUUAAAUGCUAUUGACUUCUGUAUUAUAGUGCUAAUUAUUGUAUUUAGAAAUAGAAGUGCUGUCUACAUUAUGUAUUUCUAAUUAUUUCAACAUUGCUGUAAAUACGGUUGUAUUGAAUUUAGAGUCAUACUUUUUAUUCAUACAUUCAAACUAGAAUACACCCACACACAAGUAAAGAACAAGAACAAUAAAAAAUAUAAUAUAUAUUUAGAAAACUAGAAUAUUUAAACUGGACAAGACUGAAAAACCUCAAUAAUCAAUAAUAAAUAAUAAUAAUGAAUCAUUCUUUCUCCUGUGUUGUCUUACCUGUGGAUGAUCUAUACAUCUUAUUUCUUUAUUAAUAAUAAAAAAGAAUGAAUUGACUCCUAUCUGAAAGGUGAAUUAUUGUCUUUAUUUACAAUAUAUAU